CUGUUCUUCAAAGGGAAGGAAGGAGAAACACACACAUCAUAUCCAUGGAAAUGGAAAGGCUUUGGUGUUAUUAUGCUGUUCUUCAAAGUGUUUGAUUUCCAAUCUCCUUUUUUAUAAUUUUUUUCUAAUGGAGAAGAAAAGAAAGAGGGUGGACAAAGAAUAGUGUAAUGAUGGCGGUGAUGCCGCACGGCGGUGGUUGAGGCCGGAAACUAUGAACAAAUGGGGAAUGGGUGUAUGUACCUGUCACACGCAAACUUUGUGCGAAACCAUUUCUCUCUCCGAUUUUCGUACAGGAAACAAAAACAAAAACACCAGCGCCAUGAUUGCUCAAUCAUUCAAGCUCCUAAUCAUCUCUCUGCGGAUCCCGUAUUUCUUCCUCAUUAAACUUCCUCCCGGAAGCGAUCGAGUCCUCUUUCCGCAGCAGAAUUAUGCCGCCCCGGCGGGCCCACCCGCUCGAUAAUGGAAUCGCAUGAUCGCGCGGCGGUCGGCCGGGGGCCCCGCCCCGCCCCGCCCGUCCGCCGUGUCCCGCGUCGGCGGUCGCUGUCGUGGAGACGGCGAGGCGCCACAUGGUCCGAGGGGCGGUGGUGGAGACGCAUGCCACCCGCUUUCCUUCCUCCUCCUCUCCUCUGCUCCUGAAGGCAUUGGCUGGCCGGGCCGGCCGCCUCGUCUCUUUCCGCGCGGUUGCCAUCGCAGCCCUGACCGGCUCCGGCUGGCCGCUGACUUGUUCUCCGGUGCCGCGCGGUGAUUGGUCCCCCGUCGUUAAGUAACUCUGCUUGAUACGUAAAUUAAUUAAUGGUGAUGGUUGGCGAGUUGUGUUCCUUGUCGAUGCGUCGAGAGGGUUUGCUAAUUCCGGCUGCUCGAUGAACAGCAACGGUCAGCGCAGCGCAUUCGUUGAACCGGCACCUCGUCGCUCUUGUUUUUCCGGGGGUGGGUGCUGGUAAAAAAAAAAAUUAUUGGGCCGGCGCGUGGCAGCGGCGACUCAAGUUUACCUUCUACUACGUUUAUUACCUGAGCUGUCUGUCUCGUUUUGUAGUAAUCGGCUAGAUUCGUCAAAGGUUAUUCGAGGGCUGUGACCGUGAGACUGAUAAGGGCGCCUUUGCCAUAAGAAUCAUCAAAUUUUCAGGUAGUGCAAAAGAGAAUCAUUCUAGUUCCGGUUCCGGAUUUGACAUGUAUAGCUUCGCCAACAGCCAUAUGUUGAUUGGGAAGUAUGGGCCUUCCAGAAGGGCAGAGCAGAGCCGAGCAAGGGUCGACACGUAGCCUACGGAUAGAAGAAGAAGGACACGCGGCCUUGUUCUAGAAGAUCCCUAGCCGCACGAGUGAACCUGCGGGUUCUAUAUCUGUGUUGUUGACCUUUUUCCAGGUGGCAAGGGCCGACACAGCCGAACCGGCUACCAGAAAAAAAGUUUCAAAAUGUGCUCCGGUCAGCAGCCCAGAAACUUUGUCGCGUGAGAGAGAAGAGAGAGGGGAACCCACGAACAGUAAAGCCCAUGAAUCUGCCAGAGUCACCCUUUAGCCCACGAGGAGAACUCGAUCUUUCUUUGUUGCUCUGCACCUGUCCCUGAGUCCGGCCCAGCGAGGCGAAUUUGGGCUGUGUGGCCUGACGGCCUCGAGAGCUGACAUGAAAAGUGAAAGCUCCAUAGGUAGGCAGCGUACAUAGGAGUAAAAUGCACCGAUGGUAACACGAAGCGUCACAUAGAUGCCCGAACUUUCAAAAUGCACGUUUAAAUACCUAAAUUUGUUAAUCGGUUCACAUGACAUCCAAAUCUCCAUAACCCGUGCUAGAUGACAUGCGUGGCACGUUGACUGUGUGUGACGUGGACUUGACAUGCAGGACCCACAUGUCAAGUCCACCUAUCUUCUCUCGUCUCUCUAUUUCUCUCCCUUUCUCUCUCUUCCUCAUCAGCAGGGUGGCCGGCCAUGUGCCCCGACGGAUCAACCACGGCGGCUGCCGAUGCCGACACCGAGCUCACAAAGAUUCAGCCCCAUGCGUCACCGUAGCCUUGGUCCUCUUCGCCGCCGCUGAGUCCGAGAUCGACAUCGACGACCACCUGGCCGAGCUGCUGUCCAGCUGCCAGUGCCUUCGCCAUCCUCCUCUCACCUCCAGUCCCAAGCCGUGGCGGUGCGCGCGCUGGCGCGCAUCAACCACUCCGUCGCCCCCCGCCAAGCCCCUCCUCACGGCACUCCGCUGCGCAUCCGCGCUCACCAAAGAGGCGGCGCCGCCCGCGGACCAAGCUGACGCCCGGGCUUCUUCCCCCUCGUCCACCCGCGAUACUGUGUGGCCACCUGCCGCCACAAUGUGGUCAGCGAUGACGUUCCACUGUGAAUGAGGCGUGACAACCGGGACGUCGAGCACCGCGUCUUCUUGGUCUACCACAGUGACAGCAUGUUUCUCUGGAUGGAUGGCGCCCAAGUUGUCGGCGUGUGAUCGAUCGGUGUGCUAGAAAGGAACGGAGAGGAUCGCUAGAUGUUUGCCGAAGAGGAUAGGUAGGAGUGUGUGUGUUUUCUCAAAGCGAGCACGACGCCUACUCCAUUUAACAACCUGGUGACCGAGCUAGCCGGUGCGUCGGCCGCGCAGACCGCGCGCGGCCAAUAUCCAGAGGCAGCGGUGAUGUAGCCGAAUCAGAGUGGACGGUGGCGUCGGCGGCGGCAGGGACUGCAGGAUUGGAGAAAAGAGAUGGUGCUGACAUACGGGUCCCACAUGUCAGGACGCGUCACCAUUCUAGUCACCAUGCCACGUAUGCAAUUUAACUUAACGUGGGUUAUGGAGAUUUGGAUGUCACAUGAGCCAAUUAGCAAGUUUAGGAACUGUAGCGUGCAUUCGGAGAGUUCAGGGCCUAGACUGACAUUCCCUGCCAAUGCAAGUUCGUGUAGCGCAUAUACAUAGCAUAGUCGCAUCGCAUCGCCUAGGCAGUAGCCACGAGCACAUCAUAGGUCAGAAGUGUCACGGUUGGUGAGGUUCAGUUUGCGGCAUUCUGAAGCCUGAACAGCAUCAGCUUUGACUGCCUUUUUUGUGCUGCUUUACCGAACAGCAACCUACAUGACAUGACUUCUCCCUUGCUAAUCGAUGUGACUGGUCCUCAGAUUAGUCGGUACAAACUCACAAAUAGCCAAAGGGAGUCAAAAAAGAUAGCAAAGGUGCCACAAGGAUUUCCCCGGCGGAUAGAUGGAAGCAAUCCGACACGGUUGCCUGUAAGGCUGUAACCGCUCCUUUUUCUCGCGGUGCCAAGGGUCAGAGCCUCAGAGGAGCUUGCAGAUCCAACGUUUGGUUAUUACUGAUUAUGCUUCCUCCUAAUCAAUCAUCAGGUCAUCAUUGAUUAGGCCAAGAGAGAAGACAAUGGUGUAACUGUCUCUGUCUGAUGAAGCUCAAAAGCACCGAAUGCCUUUCCUACCGCGGUAUACCACCCCUGUUGCUGUCCCUCCUUUGCACGGCCACUAGGAACCACUUCGCAGAAUCACAGUUACUAAAACCACAUGCUCAUAGAGUUAGUGGCAUGCACUAGCUCCUCCGCUCUGCAACUACAACGCUUUGCGGCCGCAGAUUGCAUUGUAAUGGCCGACCAGGCCGGCAAUAGAAAAAGGACGACGAGUUCCUCUUCGAUGAUCCCUCUUCUCUAGCUGCCUGUGCACUGCGCUGGUGGGCUAGCACGUUGGCAACUCGUCGUCUUCCACUUCCACUUGCGAAUUGUUAAUGACCAGGGGCUAAGCAUAGUUGAUAGUUCCUCUCCAUUGAUCAAUGAUCAGUACUCGCUAACAAUUAAGCAAGCUGCUCAACACAAAAGGCAAAGAACACGCCGAAGAAUUAAGCGCCGAGCAGGGAGCAACGGCAUGAUCCUGGAGCUCUGCAGCUGCGGCGUGACACGCACGAACACGCCACGCUUAACCACGUUCGCCGACCAUGUCUGUUCGCGCAAUCAUUGUUGUUGUUUCGGCAAUGGAACAAACAAGGUUUCUGCUCAUCAUCAGGGGGAUAAUGGCGACCACCGUACCUAACGAGGUCUUAAGCCUUGACCAAACCGGGAGGGGCCUCAUCCUGCACCAGCUGCUAAUAAUGACCCCGCUUCUUAGCCAAGCGCAAGCAAGUGACCUCUCUCUCAUCUCAGCCUUAUUUGUUUGAGUUUCUUGUAGCUUCUCAGUACGAAAAGUUAGAAACUCAAACAAACAUCAAUCUUCAAUCUUCUUGUGUAGCUUUUGAAUUGUGUAGCUUUUGAAAAGUUGAAGUUCAGAAAAAUAGAGUUUAUAUAGAAAACUGGAAAGCUCAGUUUUACGAGCUUUUCAUAGCUCCUUGAGCUUAGAAAGCUACACCCAUCUUUUAAAAGCUAGUGUUAGCUUUUCAGAAGAAAAAAACUAGUAAUUUUCAGAAGAAAAAUAUCAGUAGCAAUUUUUCAGAAAAACUCAAAAGUUACAGUUUAAACGGUCGGAGCAUACGAAUUGUUGGAGCUUAAACUUUUAGAGAUAUGGACAUCGGAUACAAAUCCUAAUCGACUUGAAGUUCAAUCACUAGCGAUACGAAAUAAACUGAUUUUUUUUAAAAAAAAAGCAUGUGACUUAAUUUUGUCAGCCUAAUAGUCUUGUCGUGACUUAUAAUAGAAUUAAGUCUCGAAUAGCCACGAAGCAUGGUUGUAGGUUGAAAUGUCAGGAUGCAACUAGAGAACUUAGUACAGUUUCUUGGUUGCUAAUGGACACUAUUAUAUGCAUGUGUAGCUAAGGGUGCCCGGCCCAGUGCCCUUAAAUUCAGGCUUGGGCGGGCUCCACGAACAAUUAUAAGUAUCUACAAGAGACAGAAAUUGGAUAAUAUUCUCUCCAUCAAACCCAUCACUCAUUGCCAAUCAAACGUCUCUACAAGAGAACAAAGGCAGCCGAGUAUAGAUGACCCUUAACUUCAAGAUAACUCCACGUAAGGUUUUUAAAAAAAACUACGAAUUUGUACCAGCUAGGCGAUUGAUUUUUGUUUUCUUUUUGGUACCAGCUUGGCUGAAAAUUGGCCUAUGAUCUCCCAACUUUGGCCAUUUUAGGCUGCUACAACCUAACAUGAUGCUGGAUUUCAGGACAGUUUUGGAUCGCCUCUAGCUAGUUCCUGAUGAGUAUAUAAGAACUCAAUGCUGGAUUCUUCUGAAUAAUUAAAAGAUUUCAGGACAAUGGGUGGCAUAUUUUUGUCCCGUGAUAGAUUCACAGCUAAAUACAUGUAUGUAUGUACACUGUUGCUGGUACACUGUGGCACUACUGUGGUGGACCUAGUAUACGCAGGCACUCUGGCAUGGCAGCCAAAAGUAGUUAGUCAGUAGUCACAAGUCACAACAUAGACGUGAAUAAUUGAUCUAGGGCCCAUCAAUCUGCAACAAGUGAUCAUACUGAACGGUGUCAUACUCCAUAAAAGAAAGAAGGGGAAAGGUUGCGACGGUUAAAACACAAACAUGUUCCGGUGGUUGGUGCAUGUUCAUGCCAGUUGAUGGUGGAGCAUCCUGCCACUGAGUUCUUGUGCGAUUUAGCAAGUGUUUUUGGUGCAUGCAUAUCUCCUGAUGCUACUGAUUUUCUUCUUCUUCUUUUUUUUUGAAAUAAUCCUCAUGCUACUGAUUUUAGUUAUGCAGUUGCAACCCAUACUAGAGUACUAGACCGUCUUGGCCUUUCGCUUCAAGCCUCCAAAUAUGUGGAAUGGAAUCCCAACUAAAGUUGCUGCUUCUCUCGUAAUGUGUGUUUGUGUGUGUGUUUGUUUGUUUGUGUAUGCACUUUGCUUUAUGUUUUUGUUUUUUAUGCUACUAGCCGUGUGGCUGUAGUGCUGUACAUUGCAACGGAUCCCCAAUAAAAUAAACUCAAUUUUGAAUUCGUCGUUCAUAAAUAUUUAUAUUUUUUAAUAUGCAAAUUACUUGCAUUUCAUCGACCCAUCCUAAGCUAAAAGCAACUAAACAAGUAAUGGCGUGCAUAGCUUGUUCCUACGGCCCCGAGGAACGUGCCAUAGGGGGCACACGAAAUCCCCUGACGCUGUAACAUCUAAGAAUUGCAAGAUACCUGCGCCCAACGCCACCAGCCCCUACCUCCGCCCCUCUCCCUCGCCGCCACCCGAGUAGGCCGGCGGAAGUCUGUCCGGUUGCAAGGAGGGUGCGGGCAAGGUCAUCUUCUCCCUCGCGCUGGUGAGGCCCUCUCGUUUUGCAUCGAUAGUGGUCGUGUCCGGUCAACCGAUUCCGACCAUUCGGGCAUAGAUCUACCAUCCUCUUAGCCUGAUCUACUCCCUCCGGGGCCGGAUCUGGCCUAGAAGAUGGGGGAGCGGCGUUAGGAUGAGGGGGUCGGCAGGCAGCACCACGCAGCGGUGGCCCUGCGGCUGCCUGAUGCGGCUGCGCGCGGCUGCCGACAGCCGGACCAGCGGAAGUGGAGGGCGGUGCGGCUAUGGCAAAGGAUGGGCGAGUGGCAGUGGCGGCGAUGGCACAGAGCGGGAGGCGGUGCGACGACGGUUGUGUGCAGGAGUGGAAGCAGGCAGAGUGCGUGGUGGCUAGUGGUGGCCGCACGAGCGCGUGGCGGCUGUGUGAAGCAUGGAAGAGGUGCGCGCGGCCGUGGUGGCUGGCGGCGGUUGCACGCGAGGAGUGCCUAGAGGUGCAGUACGAGGAAGCCUGCGGAGGUCUCGAGGGUGGAUCUACGCUUUGCGGCGCCUGGCUCGAGUACAGUUGUUGGGACCGGCGGCUCUGCGGUGUCGUGGGCGAGAGUCGGCGCGAGGCGGCUGCACGGGGUUGCGAGGCUGACGGCGAGGGUGCAGGCGUGCCUGACGGCGACGGGAGCGAGUGGUGCCACACGGUGGCCAGCUGGUGCUGGAGUGAUGGAUCUGGUUCCACCUGGACCAUUCCCGGCAUCCCUGCGACCGGUUUUGGCCACCCGCGGUCCGUGGCUGGUCAUGGGCGGCAGCACGAAGGUCGCAGAGCCGUGCCAGCACGUGCGCGGGUGGUGGUCACGUGCAGAGGUAUGUUGUAGGAGGUUGCCCGGCCACGCUGAUGAGGAUCUGCGCCGGUGGUAGGGUGGUGUUGCUGUCGACACUGGUGAUGAGGUGGGCUGUACGGAAACACCGACGAAAGCCUAAGCUGGUUAUACCGGCUACGAUGACGGCGACGCCCUCAGGCGUCGUUCCCCUCCUUGGAGGUGUUGUCUUUGUGUUUUGCUAUAAACCAUUCUCUGGCCAACGUCUGAUAGGUUUUGCCAAGGUGGUGGACCAUUGUCUCUCGAAGCUUUGGGUCCGCCUAUGUGGUGCAACUGAGAUUCCGGCGGUGGCAAGGUGGAGGUGAAGUUAUUGGAGCAACUCGGUGGCACCAUGUCACCCCCGGCAGCAAAGUAAAUCCGGAUCCUUGGCGUGGAGUCCAGCAGUGGAAGUGGCGAGGCUCCCGUUCGCUUUAAGGUGAUGUGUUCCGAGGAGUAGUGUGCGGUGGUGGAUGUGGCGAGGCCCCCAUGCAUUCGAGUUGCCUUGGAGAGGUAGGAUCUGGUGCGGUGUUUUGGUCGUUUGGUGUGUAGAGUGCUGCAGCGGUGCUUUGACGUUGGGUCCUGCAUAGUGGUGGCCUUUCAGUGUGGUGCAGUGUGCUCCUCUUUUAACUUCUCCCGAUGCAAAGGCCGUGUUGGGAGAUCGAUCCUGUGUGCGUGACCUGAGGAUGACGGCGGCAUGGUGGAGGUGUCGUGGUAGUGAUACGGCUUGCAACGGACUGCGGCAGCCAGUCCUGCGUGGCAGCGGCUGGUUCGGCAUGGCGCUUGCGAUGAGGGCUACUUGUCGGCUUUUCUUCUGGGUUGUGGUGGUGUGGCAUGGUGGUUCAGUGCUCAGGCGUUAGCGUGUGGGUUGUAUCGAUAUCUCAAUCCGAUCGACCACAGAGUUUGUUUUGUUUUGAGUUGAGUCGAGUUCAGCGUGAUCUGUGGAAGGUUACUUUGUACGUUGUUGUACCCAAUCUAGGUUUAUUUUUUUAAUAUAAUCAGAAGCUCUCUGCUGCCCUAGUUCGUUUUUUUAAGACAAAAUAACGGUGUGCAUAGAAAAUUCUUCAACACACAUACAUGUACAGAAAAUCAAGCCACCAAAAUCCCUCAGUAGAACCGACCCUCACUACCACCAGCCCAAUUCACUCUUUCAAAUAGCGAAGAAAUUUAAGUUUCCUUUGUUAGUAGUCAUCAUUUGCACCAUGACAUGUCAUAUGGCUUGUAUUUUGCUUUUGAAUCACAUUGUAGCAAAUCAUGUGGAUGUGAACCUUGUCCAAUUGAAGAAGCUCGAGGGUGCUAUAUGGAGUUUAACAGUUUAAUUUGCGCAUGAAACUGUCUAAAGCUUCAAGCCUGGUAAAGAUUCAGCAAUCAGCGGUAUAAAUUUCUUCUUACAGGGACUUAUUUAAUUACUUGAACACUCUUUCUUUUUGGUGGCUCUACUAUUUAUUUUCUUCAAACAAGUUGUAACUUGUAAGCCCCCCUAUGGAUCUUGUUAGAAGAAAAUGCUCUGAUAAAAAGUCAGGUUGCCUUAAGAAAUACUGUGACGGCAAGUGUCUAUUUUAUAUUUAUAUGCUACAUCCUGCCAAUGUGCAUUUUCAUCAUAUGUUUGUACUGCUCAUGAUUAUGGAAGCGUUUUUUAAGGGAGGGCCAAUGUGCACCAUCAGCACUUGCAACAUGCAACACGAUCAGAACUCAGAAGUGUGUGUCACUUGCUAUCUGAAUUUCUUCCUAAUUUUUAGUUUUCCUUUACUUGUAACUUGUAAGCCCCCCUAUGGAUCUUGUUAGAAGAAAAUGCGCUGAUAAAAAGUCAGUUGGCCUCAAGAAAUACUGUGACGGCAAGUGUCUAUUAUAUGCUCUAUCCUGUCAAUUUGCAUUUUCAUCAUGUGUUUGUACUGCUCAUGAUUAUGGAAGCGUUUUUUAAGGGAGGGCCAGUGUGCACCAUCAGCACUUGCAACAUGCAACACGAACAGAAGUGUCUCUGUGUGUGUGUGUGGAUUUUUUUCCUAAUUUAGUUUUCUUUUAUUUUGUCCGUAAUCAUCAUUUCAUUAUGCCAUUAUGUUGCAACAGCUAUAUUAUGUGUGUUUCCCUUAUGGAUUCGUACUAAAUAAUAGAUGCCCAUCAACACUGUAAUUAGGUGGCACUAAGCAUGGUGUCAACUUCAGCUAUGAUUUUGGUCACAUGUGCGGCUCUCGCCCUCACUGCAUGCUCAAGUCUCAUCUGAAAAAGAUGCACAUUCAGAAAAAGCAAACCAACCACGCAGAGUAAGUCGACGACUUUUCUUUCUCGCUGUCAGAGUAAGGUGUUAUGCAACAAUCACCAUCUACACCAUAGAUCUUUUUAGGUGGAAGAAGCUCUCAUGGUGGAGCCGCACCUGCAAGAUCGUGAAAUGCCUCAUAAAUUUUGACUUGCAUGAAAAUCUUUUGCGCGAAAAGAUUUUGACUUGAGUCAUCCUAUUCUCAACUAGGGCCUCAUUCCAUUGAAGAGCCUAGGUUUUUGUUGCAAACCGUAGUCGUCGUACACUUGUACACAUAUGUGAAGGGAUCUGAUUCUAUGAAUUAUGUUUCUACAUUUUGUGCUUUUAAGACUUAAAACCUCCACCUCAUCAAUAGAACCUCGACUUUGAUAACCAUAAUUAUUAGUCUGGUUUGUACGUACGUUCCCUUGAACUGAUGUUGUUUGUAUAGUUUCGUGCUUGUUGGCUCAUUCGUUACAUUUUAUCAGAAAUUCAGAAACUCACGGAAGGCAUGGGGCAUGUACUCCCUCUGUUCUGAUUUACAUGAUGCUCAAAUAAAAAAAGAACGGAGGGAGUACAAUACAAGAGAACAAAAGGCACGAGAGAGCCGCAUCCCGAGUGAAAUUCUCGGCACGACACGUCCUAUCGAGUCCGCCAUCUUUUGUCAUGUGCCAAUUUACGCCGAUUUUACGAGUGAUCAAGCCCCUCGAUCAGCCCGCACCAUCGAUAUCCAAAUCGGAAUAUGCCCGUCCCCGUUGCGUCCGCAUGAUCGGUGACUAAUCAUUUUUUCUUUUGCAUUUGAAUACUCGUUUGAAUUGGACCGUCCCUGCUACUGUCCACACGUGUAGAGCCCCGCUUGUGCUUUCUCGCCUUGAGCUCCACGCCCAAUGAUCCCAUCCUCCCUCUUCUUGUAUUAAAAAAUUGUUUGAGUAUAGUACUACUAGUAAAGCAAACCGAAUAACCGGUGCAAGAAUCAUUGUUAUUAGCUCGUCCAACCACCAGCUGAAAUGAUCGUUUCAGCGAUUUUUCAUACGAUUUUGUCAGUACCUGCAUUGUUUUGUAACCCGCAGGUGAUGAAUUUGUCCUGCUCAAGUGAAAACUAAGUUGCUAGUCCAAGCCUUUGAGAUUCGACGGCUUUGAACAAAUCUACACCACUCUUGUCAUGAGGUUUAUCAUCCAAGGGUUAGUCAUAUUUUCAUCAAAACAGCGGAUUUGACAAGUUUUUUUUUAGUAAUUCUACAGGUAUAUUUCCAACACCCGAUCAUAUCAUUCAACUGAUAAUUAGCUGGUGGGAGGACGACUUGACUAUAAUAAUCUUGGAAUCUAGAUUGUUAUAAUUCAGUUAUAAUCUGAGACCUUUUUGUUUCAUAUUACAGAUUAUAACCUAGAUUAAUUUAAGGUGAGGAAAUAACAUGGACUUUGUUUUGGAUAAAACUGAUGAGCUGAUGGAAAGAAAGAAAGAAACGCCAAAUCCAUGCCGGAGGCAACAAUAGAAUUCUCGUCAGAGUGGCAUUGUGGCAACGCCACUUGAUUUGUUUUCUUUUGCAGGGGGGAGACGAGACAAGACAAGCGAACCAGUUAAUCUGCCACCUUAUGAUGAGCCGGCCCCUACCCGCCUCCGUCCUCCCUCCCUUAUAUCGCCACGCCCUCGCCCUUGGCAACAAGCGCGACACGCCACGACACGACACGGCGCGAGAGAGCCCCCCCGUGCUCAUGCCACUGACGACGACGCCACCCAUGGAGAUCGACCUGGACGCCGUGCGCGCGGCGCGCGUGCUGGGCCGCGGCGCCUUGGGCACGGUGUUCCUCGUCGGGGACGGGGACGGCGGCGGAGGGGAGGCCUACGCGCUCAAGGUCUUCGACAAGCGCUCCCCCGCGGCGCCGUCGAGGCCGGCCGCGGGCGCCGACGCCGCCCGGCGCGCGCGGUGGGAGGUGUCCGUUCUGUCGCGCCUGGCGCACCCGCACCUGCCGUCCCUGCUGGGCUGCGCCGAGACGCCCGGCCUACUGGCGUGGGCGCUGCCCUACUGCCCCGGCGGGGACCUCAACGAGCUCCGCCACGCGCAGCCCGACCGCGUGUUCUCGCCCGCCGCCAUCCGGUUCUACGUCGCGGAGGUGGUCUCCGCGCUCGCCGAGCUCCACGCCGCCGGGAUCGCGUACCGCGACCUCAAGCCCGAGAACGUUCUCCUCCGCGCCGACGGCCACGUCACGCUCACCGACUUCGACCUCUCGCGGCAGCUCCCGCCCAGGUCGCCCUCCGCGUCCACGUCCUCCUCGUCUUCGUGCUCCGCCUCCGCGACGUCCUCGCCGCCGCCUCAGAUGCCGGGCCACGGACGGGGCCAGUACCGCCACCUGAAGCGCAUCUUCAAGAGGAGCGAGUCUGCGGUGACCGCGUCGACGUCCGGACAGGAGGAAGAGCCGCGCAACCUCGCCUGGUACCUCAGCAGAAGCGUCGACGGCGCUGGCGGCGGCGAUCAGGUCAAGAAGGCGAAGUCAGCGAGGGUGUCGCCGGCGGACCGCCGCAAGAAGCUCUCGGGCCUCUGCUCGGCCGCCGCCGCGGCGGGCGAGCGGUCCUUCUCGUUCGUGGGCACGGAGGAGUACGUGGCGCCGGAGGUGGUGCGCGGCGACGGGCACGAGUUCGCCGUCGACUGGUGGGCGCUCGGGGUGCUCGUCUACGAGAUGUCACACGGGCGGACGCCGUUCAGGGGCCGGAACAGGAAGGAGACGUUCCGGAACGUGCUGCACCGGGAGCCGGAGUUCUCAGCGGAGGCGCGGCGGCGGUGGCCGGAGCUCACGGACCUCAUAUCGAGGCUUCUGGAGAAGGAUCCAGCGCGGAGGCUGGGCUUCGCCGGCGGCGCCGACGAGGUCCGGGCGCACCCGUUCUUCGCCGGGGUGGCGUGGGAACUGCUCGGGGAGGUGUCCCGGCCGCCCUACAUCCCCCCGCCGGCCGAUGACAUUGUCUCCUGCGAGGGAUUCAGCGUGGCCGAAUACUUCGAUAAGCUUCACCAGCCUCCGCCGUCGCCGGCGGAGCACACGCCAGAGGAGGAGCUCUUGCCGGAGUUCUGACAUCGGUUGUUUCCGCUCGAGCUUUGAGCUCCCUAUUUUUUUCGUUUUGCACCCUAGAAGAUCACUAUAUCAUGUAACAGGGGAUGUUAGUGAUAUGUGUACAUAGAGAGCGGGUGACCUUGUAAGAUCAUGAUAGUAGGAGCAAUCCUUGGUGAAAUUGAGGAUGAUGAUGCAGUCGUCAAAGACUUGAGCUUUCGAGUUUUUCGUCAGUUUAUACUACUGUAACUCAACUACGAUUCUUAUUACGAAAAUUCGACAAGACUGGAUUAAUUACGCUGCAGCUCAAUUACAGUUGGGGAUAGAGAGAGAGAGAGAGAGCAUCUUUGACGGGGUUGGUUGGUAACUUCUGUUGGACCAUGAAUUCACUCCCAUCUCUGAAGGUUGGACCAUGUACGUACGUAUGUCAAUUUCAUCCUUGGUUUUGUACCACUACUCUACAUUUGUGUACGUGCACGAUUGAUCAGCUGCCGGCUGGUUCCAUGUGCAGGUUGAUGCGCUUGUGCUCUUGAACGUAGACGAACAUAAUUGAUGGCUGUUCCAUCAGACAUUCAGGCCUUCAGUAAGCCUCGCCAGCUCUUCAUUUUCUCACAAAUUCAACACAGCAUUCGGUUAGUGGCUUAGUGCUAUCGUAAAGAAGUUUUACUGUACUUCAACACAUGUGUAUGGCUCAUCUGUUGAGCUGAGGAGGCGUUUAUAGUCGUGAAAAAACAGAGGUAUGACGAGAGCAAACUUGUAGCUGAAUGACAUGCAUGGUUUCUGACAAUUGAUUCAGUCCACUGAGCGCGCGUGCAGAGCUUAUCUGAACUGAAAAGAAAUGCUUCUUUGCUAAUAGUAUACAGAUUGCUCGCUUCAGACAAUAGCAGGAUAGAUUAGGUGAUCUACUUGCAGCCAUUGACGAAGGUCUACUGAUAAAUUGCUUUGACUCUGGCGCCUAGCGACCGACCGGCACUUGAGAGAAGGGUUCUAUUGUAAUGGGUAGGCACUCGCAAAGUGACAGCAAAGCCGGCUUGUUAUAUCAGCCGGUUCGCCAUCAGAGGCGACAAGACAAGUUAAACCUAUGAAAACGUCAUUGUUAGCCACGUAAUCUGUACAAAUCACGCGAUGGGGAGGGUUUGAUGGAGAGUGUUCGAGGAUCAAGGAGACACUUCUGGCGCAGAGCUUACUUUCAUGUCUGCCGAACUUGAUGCGCAGUUUUAUUUGCAUACAUAUAUUGUAUUUUGUAAGAAACUUGGCUGGCUAGAUAACUUUGUUUCACAGCAUGCAGCGCAAGCAGACUGCUAACAACUAAAGCUUUAAUUAGGAUCAAUCACGGUUCAUGCGUUGCUUAGAUGCUUUUCUAUGAUCAUUAUAGCUCCGAACCCUUGCUAUUAAAUAGUAUAAUCCUUUUCCAUUUUCUUUAAGGUUGCGGAUGUGGAUGUACACCCAGACUACACCCAACUUCAAAUCCUAGUCAAGAUAAAUUUGGGUGCCUAAUUUCAUUUUUCAUGUUAAAACCACUUCUUUUUUCCAAACACAUUGCAGACAUAGAUACCUCAACCAACGAUCUCAGCGUGUUGGGACCGCUAGCCCCCACGUGGCCACGUUCACCCCUCUUCAUUCCUUUUUUUCUCUUUAUAAAAAAAAUAUAUGUAUGCAAAACAAAAUGUAGCACAUAAUUUGUAUAAAUAAUUUGUAGAAAAAACUUGAGAAACAAAGAUUUCAAAAAAAAUGGAAGAAAAAUUUGGAACCAAAUUUGAAUGAAAUAGAAAUUAUGAACAAAAGUUAGGAAAAAAGUCGUGUUCCUAACUUUAGGAAAGAAAGAUCAGAGAGUAAAAUCUGCAAAAAGCAAAAAAUGUAAGCAAAAAUUAGGAAUAAAAGUUGUGUUUCCUUCCCCUGGAUCCACCGCCGAACCCAGCCUCAAUGCGCCACCAUCCCUAGGUUCGCCGCCAGAGAGCUUCUUCCCCUGAGCCUGCCACCGCCUAGCGCCAGCCUUAGCACCCCCUCCUCGCGCACAUCCAUCCCCACCUGACCCACCCCAGCGGCGCACAUCCUCGCGCACAUUCUCGUGCUUCCAGUGAGGUCCGAGGCGGUGCGCGGCAGCGAACGGGAAGGGGAAGGGGGUCCUCGCUCUCGCGGGUGACCGUGCACUACUGCCAGCCCCGCGCGCCGCUAUUUGUUGGUUGUCUGCGGUGGGCUCUCAGUUGUCGCUGUGUUGGGGAGAAAAAAAGAGGUGGAGAAGAAGAACAUCGUGCGUUGUGGAUGAGGUAGCCAAGAAAAAAUGUGUGGGGCUCAGCACAUGGGAAGGCAGAGCUGGUCGGAUCGAGCGUUCCGUGUGUGUGAUUGCCAAAUUGGCUUUACCCGUAUGCACAUCCUACCCUUACGAGCACCGUUGAAAGACUCCGACGGAUCUUGAGAUUGAUGAAGUUAUUUCAUGUGCUUGGUUACAGAAGAGCAUGUCAUAUAUCACUAGAAGAGUAGAUCCGAUAAUUCCGAAAUAAAUCUGCUGAGUCGAAAGACCUGAAACCGGAUUUCAGUUCGCUUAUUAAUUUCUUUUCUGUAUGCAUACAUAUACGGGCCUGAGACUACAAUAGCCGCAUGCGUCAGCCGACGCUUACUGACUAGUAGGCUUCUCUUUAUUAUGCACAAGCACAAUCUGAAUUGACUACGGGCCAGUUCAGAUUUGCUCGCCGGAAAUGACAAAUAAAGUGAACCGUCGUGUGAUAUCUUUAUAUUGCAAGAUAUUUCUUACUCGGCUAUCGACCUGAGGCCUUGAGGGAGGCCGCAGGGUAGAGUACGUCGUCGUAGAUUUAUAGAUACCGCCACUACGGCACUACCACUACCAUCCAUGCAUGCCCAGGCCAGGACGGACCGGCAGACAACGGUACUGGCAACCUUCACGUACGGAAUACCUCGCGCACACGCCGGGCACGAGAGGUGCCGGGGCGCGGCGGACACGAUAGCACCACCGGAUGCGGUGCAAAACGCGCGCGGCCGGCCGCGCCUGGAUGCAUGCGAGAUGCGCCCGCCGCAUCGGCUACCUUGGCAUGCACUAAUGGGCCGAUCGAUCUAUCGAUCACCUCAUCAUCACGAGUUGUCACAACUCGCUCACAUCUCUCUGAUCUUACCCCAGAUCGAAGAACACGACGGCGCGCGAGCACGUGCUUGUUGGGAGUUACUCCUAAAAGGGAGCACGUGUGCACGCGUGCGUGGAAAGCAACUCAGACUUUUGGAUCGCUGCAACCAGGGCAACUGCUGAUGAGUUCGAUCAGUUACUGUUCAUCGUGUGAUUAAUUACACGAGCUUAUAUAUAGCCGUGUGAUGAUUUUUCUUAAUUUUAUUUCCUCACGAAAAGCCGCUGACGAUCAACGACAGCAGGCAGGCAACAAAAGCACGUACUUAGAAAAGAAGGGUCGGACAAUGACAGUGCGGCGAGAGAUGCAGCCAGUUAGGUUGGCGUUGCAUGGCAUGCACGUUAACCAGUGAAUUUUUGAGGGCAGACAGAGACAACAGUGCAUUAACCGGCGGCCGGACAGAGACAGGUCACAGACGAGAUCGAUCACCUGUUCGUGCGCCCAGCAUCAUGGAGAUGGAAUUGAGAAACGGAAACCAAGAGGCCAGUAUCAUCGAUCUGAUAAUGGGAGCACUGUGCGGUUUGACCGGCCGGGCGGCGUGUGCUUUAACUUGCGUAACAGCUGGAGGGAGUAGCUAGUUAGUGCAUGCAUGCAAGCAUGCUAGCUGGAGAAAAUCGUUUAUGAAUGAAUUGGAAAGGUCAAAUGUCUAAUAUAUUCCUGAUAUAUGACUUGUUUGUUACCAUGAAUUAUAUGUUUCCUUUCAGUUUAUAAUUUUAUUUCAUGUAAAAUUAAAAAAAAUAAAUGAACAUGAUCACUCUCUCCGUUUUUAUUUGUAAGGCGCACAACCCAUAUCAAGAUUUAAACUUUACAAUUUUUAACCAAUAAUUUAACUAUUAAUUUUUUAUUUCUAUAAUGUAAAUUUUAUAAAUAUACUCUACAAUGAUCAUAAGUUUAUAACAUAAACACAUAAAUGAAUGGUCACCAUGUCAAGUAAUAUCAUGCCUUAUAAACAUAGAUGGAGGAAAUAUUGAUUAAUGAAUAUAACUGCGGAUUAACCGAUCAUUUUGCUUUUUUAUUUUUUUCUCCUAUCUUUCAGUUCCUUAUAUCCGUUCGUCCGUUCCUCUGGCUUCCUUAUCCUUUUCUUCCUGCCGCCCCCAAUCAGACAGGACCACACGACGCAAGCUGAGCUCCGCCGCGCUGUUGCUUGGGCGCUGCUGCUUCUCCCAUAGUGCUGUUGCUGCCUCUGCUACUCGUCUGGCGUCCGCUGCCCGCGCCCGGCCAGAUGCGCCACGCGCCGCCGGGCACUGCUUCGGCCCCAACGCAGCAACGGACCUCUAGCUCCGACGCGCGCGCCUCGCUGCCGACGUUGUGCCGCUCUCCUUUCUAGCCGCCGCUGCUCUCCCACCACCCCGCUGCACCCGACGAUGCCGUUGCCUGGGGCAUUUUGGUAAGCAUAAGCGCGAGGACGGAGAGAAGCCGGAGGAGCCACUAUUUUGGCUCCUCCCGGCUAGUACAAAACCGGCUCCGGUUUCGGCUCCGGCUCCGGCUCCGUGGGUGCUUCAUGUAGAGCUGUUUCUUCCGUGCCGUUUGGCAGGGCUGCCAAACUCACCCUAAGUAACCAUUAGGCACGUAAUCAGUGCGCAUGGCGCUAUGGACAAACAUGUCAGGUGGAGGAAGUAAAGUAGUACUAGUACAACAAUGGUUUGCAAUGCUGAGGGGGAAAGCCUGCAGGGAAGAUCGGGCCGGGCCGGCGGAGGGGGUGCUGGCUAGGGCCAACCAAACAAAUUGGCGUUUCGGGGAGGCUUUGAUCCGUCUCACUGCGGAAAAAGGAUACGCGGGCAAGCCCGCAGUUUCCACCAUUGGGCUGUGCGACUUCUCCGCGUCAGCCCAUUCGGCCGUCGGGGUCCCGCUCCGGGCCACAAGUUCGUUCUCUCCAAGCCCAAGGAACCGGUGAGUCGAGUGGAAGGAAACGACGGCCGGCUGGAAUCGAUCGUGGUCAGCUGAGGCUGAUGUUGAUCCAUGGCCGGUGAAACGUCAGUAGCGUUCGGUCUCACCGUCAGUGACCUCGUCGGCUGGAUCGGAUGGGUUUGGUUCUCGCUGGCAUCCCACCAUGGCCAAUCAUAGACCACGACAAGGAAAGUGUGGGAGCAGCUCACGCACAAGUGGCACGCUGACCAAACGGUUUUGUCGGUGAAGAGAAAGAAAUCCAAUCGAUAUCGAUCCAUCACGCUCAAGGCACAAGGGCUGACACCUGACAGAAUAUUCCUUUUUCAAAAAAGGGGAAUGGGAGGACGGCCAGAAUAAUGAAGGCUCAACGGCAACGCGUGCCAGUAUGAUGUUACUACUACUGCUUUCAUCUCAUUAUCAAAAUGAAGAAGAAGAAAAAGAUACUGCUACUCUUAUCAUACUGCUACUAUCAAACUUUCAUGAUCCCAUCACAUUCAUAGACGCUGUAGCCUGUAGGAUACAGAUGUACUAUAUCAUAUAAUGGAAAAUAACUAAACAUCUAUCUAUACUCGAAUUUCAGGUAUGCUACCCCAAAAAAGUAAAAAGAAAACAAUGCACGGGCUCGCAGAGGAACGAAUAUACAAGAACAAAUGAAUAGUAUCAUGUCGUUGCUUUCCAGUUUCAGUCCUUUCUUCACGGCCGUCCCACUCCCACGGCCUGUUCCUGAUCACCGCCGCUCCGACCACACUUCUCGCAGGAGCUCGUACCUGGCAUUCGCCAUGGAGGCUGCUCCUGCUCCUGCUCCUUGCCUGGCGCUGAAAUGCGCGGCGCCGUUGCUGUAAGGUGAAGGUGGAGCGCUCCUGUCGUACAGGGAUGCCAGGGGGCUGUCGAGGUCGUCCAGAUCGUCGUCGCUGGUGUAACCUCUCCUCUGCGCCAUUGAGCUCCUCCGGUCCAGCUCUGGGUUCCCGCAACCGGUGUCGGCCACUUUCUCCGCAACGUCCUCCAGAGAAGGGGGGCAGUACACCACCGGAGCGGCGGUGACCGGGAAUGUGCUGAUCACUUCUUUCUCCAUGAACCGCUCCAUCAUGCCCUGAAGUACAUUGGUUGCAGCAUCAGUUGAUUGACAUUAGUAUACAAGAAUCUUCAUUUUCGUAUAUUUUGUUGUGUUAAAUAUAAAUGGAAGGCAAUCCAUUUUAGCAGACAGGAACUAUACCUCAGAACUCAGCUCCUCCAGAACCAUGCCAGGAACAGGAUCAGGGCAGAACUCGUCAGGAGUGAAGUUGCACAGUAUUCUUGUUACCAGUGGAAGGCCAAUGGAAGGGCAGACCUAAAACAAAACAGGAAGAUCAAAACUUCAGCUAUUGUCUAAAAAAGACCAAAUUGAAAUAGGCACAUAUUAGGACUUGGGAAUGAGAAAGGAACUAUAAAUGAAAACUUACCUCUUUCCUGAUGGAUUUCUCAAGCAGCAUGUCCUUCGGGAGCAUCAGAAGAUCACUCAGCUCAUUGAGUAGCUUAAAACAAUUUGAUUCGGCUGCAUCUCUUCGCUCAUCACCAUUAUGUUCUGCAUCUUGACCAUCCUUUUCAGAUUCAGCAUCAUCCAUGCCAAAUGUGUCUGUCAACCAUCUGGACCAAUUCCCAACCUACAAGAGCAUUUCAUGACUUAGCAAUCAGUGUUGUUUGCAUAAGGACCUUUUUGUUUGUUUGGCAUGCAAUUGCAGGCAUAAUUCCAAAGUGAUUUUAGUCUAGGGACAUACAGAAUUCUUAAGCUGAGCGCCUGAUCCAAAGCUUAAGUCCCCAGCUGGAAUCGGCAGAACUCUUGAGUCCACGAUUGGGUCAGAUAUAGGAUCAGAUGGUAUUUCAUUCGCUGAUUCACGAAGGAUGGCGUUAAACAUAGCAACAUCUAAACGGGCUACACAAUGCUCCAUCACCUGAUAAUAACAGAACAAUAAAGGAACAGAAAUCACAUAAAAUUUCAAUAUUGUCAAACAAAAAAAAAGAACUGAAAGCAUACCAAUUUUGCCAAUACUGGUAAACAUCCACACUCAUGUCCACUAGCACGAAGAGGACAGAUUCUGCUGAAGGCAUCACGAAAUGCAGUUUUCCAGAGAUCAAUAGAAAAAUUCCCAUGUUGCUGAUCACCCAAAGAAGGCCCUAACAACCUGCUGAUCUUCGGAGUUGACAAAUCUUCCACUGGGGUUUGCAUGUGGGGUGUCAUUGCCUGGGGAAACAAAAAACCUUCAGAAAAUUGACAACACGAACAAAUUGGCAAUGGGUUUUCAGUUUUUCACUAUCGCUGUCAUACAGAAGCAAAACCAUACUGAGCUAUCUGGAAAUGAUAAGAUGGGUAAAUUUUUACCUGCCACCACACAGACUCAACAAUCCGAGAAAAGAUCCAAGAUUCUAUCUUCUCCAAUGCUGACAAGAGAGUGCCACUUUCCCGCCAAUCAUCUGGCAUCUGCAUAAUAUUGGGUCUAGCAUGCUUAGCAUUGGAGCUACUUUUCCAUCGCAUUGGAUUGAAAUUCCCAUCAAGCUUCUUUGCAUUACCAUUUGUGCUGAAAGACUUCAUAACUGGACCUGAUUGUCGUGAAGUACCAAAGGUUUGUGCAAUAAUUUCUCUUAGCACAACUAUGUUUGAUAGCCAGAAUGUCAACCUACAUCAAAAUUUAAUUCUUUCUACUUAAAUCUUAACCUGAAGGAAACGAUGCUGAUCAUAACGAGAAAUAAAAGGUGGAAUGAGAUUCUAAUUUACCUUGAAACAUCAUUGCCACAAGACUUUGCAACAAGCACAAGCCCAGAAACAGAAUUUCUUGCAACUGAAGCUUUCUUAUCUGAGGACCAAAAUUUUGAUGCAUGAAUAUACAACCUAGACAGACGGCGAGCUGGUGUAUGCAACUUAUGUGAUGAACAACCAUGCUCUGGCACCACAGAAUAGAGAGAAACCUCAAGGGCAGCAACUUCACGUAGCUCCUGCUCUAACUUCUCAAUUUUUGAAUCCAAUUCCUCAUUCCUUUCAUAAGAAACUGAAUGGCCAUUAUGAACUAUGUUUUCUUCAGUUUCAGCGAUUUCAUCAUCAGUACUAGUACUCUGAUCACAUUUUGGAGCUUCAUCCAAUAUAUCGAUCUCUUUUGCCUCUCCAACAGCUUUACCAUCAGUCUCUCUGCCCUCAAUGGCAUUAUCAUCAGUUACCUUGUCCUCAAUGACCUUAGCAUCCUUUCCAUCCUCAAUAUCCAUAUCAUUCUUCGUUCCAUCCUCAACGGCCUUAUCAUCCUGCGUUCCAUCCUCAAUGCCUUUAUCAUCCUUCGUUCUGUCCUCAAUGGCCUUAUUAUCCUCCGUCCCGUCGAUGGCUUUAUCAUCCUUGUUUCUGCCCUCAACGACUUCAUCUGUGGCUCUGCCUUCAACAGCUUUAUCAUCCUUGGCGCUGCCAUCAACUGCUUUAUCAUCUGUGGGUCUAUCCUCAAUAACUUUUUCCUCUGUUUCCUCAGAGACAUCAGAUGAAGAACAAGAAGGAACUUUCACAGCCUCUGUCUUCUUCACCUCUACUGUUCUAGCACCAUUAGCCACUUUGUUUGUUUUUGGAGAUUUGUUCUGAGGAUUGUUUGACGAUAUAUAUUGCAGCUUAGUGUGGAUCUGACGACUGGAAAUACUCCUUGCUGAGCGGGGACUGUUUUCUUUUGACUCUUUCUUUGCUAGCUUCUUUGGAACCCUUGAAACUCUCUUUGCUUUAGUAUCUUCAUUACUGGCAGCUUCACCUUGAGAUGAAAGGGAAUCUCUACUUGGCUCAUAGUCUGAUUCAGCUCCUUUCCCUUGUUUACCAUCUCUUUCCACAUCGGUUGAAUGACCAUCUCUCUCUUCCCCCUUCUCUUUGGCACCCAUUUCAGUAUCCCUUACAAAGUUCUGGAAAUUCAAUAUCUGCACAGAUCAUCAACAAAAAUUAGCAACACACCAAAGCUAUAUCAAAUAGAGUACAUGUUAUGUCAUCGCAAAACGCAAAUUAAAAAACAAAAACUAGCACCGCAGGUUAAGAGCUGAAAGGUUAAACAGCCCUCUGUGCCCCAAGUUCAAAAAGAAAAUGCAAAGUCUGGUAAGAAAUCUACUGUAGAGCAUAAUGGUCAGUUGUCAGUUCCAGAAUCCUGACGAUCAUACUAAGAAGCAGGUCCCCACAUGGUAAGUAAAGAAAUGUGGAUUCCAAUAAGACGUCCAUUACAAAACAUUGUAGCUCACAGAUCAAUCUUCUGCAUUCAAAGUAAAAGAAAAGGUGCAGUUUACACUAAAACAUUCCCUGUAGAGCAUGAUGGUAAGUUCCUAAAUGUAGUCCUUUAGUCCUGACUAGCAUACUUUGAAGCAGAUGUUCACAUCAUAAAACAAGCGACAGGACAGCAACUCAAAUAAUGAACCAGACAGCUGAGCAAGAUUUCCAUCUUGCAAGCAAAAUUGAAAAUGCUGUAACAACCUAAUAAGAGAACCUGGUACAAAUAAUAUGUCCCCAGGACAAGCAAGUAAUUCGCUUGGGCAGAGGUUUGUUGGGAGGCACAUGCAGUGGGGCUCUAGUUGUUCUUGGACCACCGUGCCCCUGGAUUGCAUUCGAGAACGAGGUCCCAGGGGGACGAAAGAGCCCCAGACAUAAAGCUGUACCAUAACUGGAGUACAGGGAGAUCUGACAAGCCCACUGAUACGGCAAAGGUAAUAACUAUCCAUGAUGGAUGAAAAACGCGGUGAUACUGGGCAGUAACUUUUUUUUCGAACGACAGUACUUGGUUCCACACGAAUCACUAUGUCCUAGACCAUUGCUCCAAAUUACCAAUCACGAGAGAAAGCUACUGAAGAUGCAGGUGCAUUACUUCGAUUUCUAUUUGUUCUAACAAAUGGCCGCAUCAGUUUUCAGCAGGGAAAUGUUCAGGUUCAAGGAACAAUAAUUAUUAGGCAGCAGACAUAAAAGAAACAAAAGUUGGGAAUCACAGGCUACCACCAAUGGACCAAAAAUUCAGUCUCAAGAUGUCCGGUCCGCAUGGAAAUUAACAGACAACAGAUAUCGCAAGAAGAUGCUCACAUAUCACAGGAGCAAGAGCAAGAACUGGAAAGGAACAGACUAGGCACCCCGCAUCCCAAGAGGCCACCAGCACGGCUCAUUCAGUCCGCGAAUGCUGAUCAGACGCUGCAACCAUCAACCAAUCUACAGACUAACCCAACAAACGCAGAGCUCGUCGGAAACCAGGAUCCCCGGCUAGUUUCGGCAACCAAACGAAGGCUAGAGCCCAAGACGGCAACAGGAAACCAAACCGCCAAAUCUCGAAUCGAACGCCACGGCGCAUGAAUCUUCCCCCAAUGUACAAGAACAGGACUGAUUGGGAGGAACAGAAACGGCGAGGACGGAAUCAGCGCAGGAGCCAGCGGUGCUCACCGGAGUUCCCGCGGUCGGUUGCCGCGCCGGUUCGGUUCCUCGCGAUGCGGGCGGGCGGGCGCGGGAAGCGAAACCAGGAAGCGGUUGCUCUUCCUUUCCCUCCUCUUCUUUUCCUACUGGGCGGCGCGGGGUUUAACGCGGCGCGGGAUCGGGCGCGCCGCGGUUCCCGAGGGGAAUGUUGGUGCGGAGCGGCGCCGGGCGCGCGGUCGGUCGGUCGGCCGCGGGACGGGGACGAGGCGGCCACCGGCCGCUUGGCUGAUCCGGCGGCCGCUUCUACUGGGGCUACGGCGAGGCAGGCGGGCGGGCGUCACUGGCAGUGCCUCCACCGCGUCCGCGUGGGGGCGUGGGCGUGGGCGUGGGCGUGGUGGCCGUUGCUGCUUGCUUAUAUCAACGUGUGUUUCGAGGCCGCCGAUGCCGCUCACCGCGCGGUGAGCCUAGCAACGGCAUCGAGGGGGAGGGCUCGUCCGGAACGUGGCCUAACAAAUGUGCGAAGCCAAAGCGUUGACAAUAAAAUUCGUUGCCAAAAUUGCGUUUGAAUGUUUCGAAAAAAUAUGCGUUUGGAGAGUGUGUGUGUUAUACUUGUACACGAGUGAGGGAUUUGUGGUGGUUAAAAUUUUUGCCACCAUCAAACAAGUGUUUGAAUUUUGGAAAUUCUGGUUGUCUGUAAUGCUAAUCACAUUUCGAGUAUAUACAAAGAUUAUUUCGAAGUUCUAACCUUCGCCACGUAACCGCCUUUUCGCCCUCCUUGCUCGGCCACGUUUCCUACGAAUGAAACUGUCUUCCGCCCUCCUACUCAAGUGUCCUUGUAUAGGUGGCAGACGCAGCAUAGUUCGUGACACAGUUCAUGAUUUAUCCUCAACGUGGCUCACGAUUUUUUAUCAGGUUCGAUUGGACAAGUACCAGACAUCAUAAAUCGACAUUAUGGCUCUGCCCUCUGCUUGGGAAGCUUAUAACAGUUUCUGCAUGCUCUAAAAAAAAUCAUCCAAAGUCCAAACAGUCCGAGUUUUCCUAUAGUCUGCUCCUACCAAAAGCUGAUUUUGGAUGAAUUAGGUGGCUGGAAUUUCUAUAUAUCUAUGGACACUGCAGAGCAAGGCAGUAACACACAAAUUUGAAGUCACCAUUCCGAAUAGAAUCCAUAUCAUCAUGGAGAAGCAGCUUUUUCCAACAAAAGCUUCAUUCCGAUCGAAAGAGAGAGAGAAUCUGUACACAUCCUCCUUGUUUUCCCAAAAGAAGGAAUUAACAGGCCGGAAAGCGCCUGCCCAGACUCCAGAAAAGGAGUGGUGAGCGCACUCGGGAUCCGCAGCCCUCCCGCAUCCUUGCGUGGCCGGGGGUGACCGGCAGAGGCUGUCGGUGGUGGCAGCGCCACCGCCGGCUCCGGGUAGCCGUCGCCGUCACAGAAUCAGAUUAGGCGGCUUAAUCAGGGCCACGAAAUCACCAUACUGCCCUCACCAGCCGGUUUACUUCUCCAAUCCCUCGCCGGAGCUGCCUCUCUGUCUCUGCCGUGGCCGUGUAAACGCAGAGCCCGCCAGGCCGGCAGGCAGCUGGGCCUGGGCCGGGCGGUGACGUGACCCUUUCACCUCGCCGUCACGUCCACGUCUCCGACGCCUACUGCUCCGCGGGCACGCACCGUACAGGUACGCGGCCGCCUAGGCGUACGGGCCCUGUACAGGACCACGCGGGAUACAGCAUCUGUAUUUGCAUCCGGCUACAGGCUACUUGCUGCAAUGCUGCUAGAGGUACCAUGCCAUGUGUUGGUUCUGGACAUUCCAGGGGAUUUGGCAGGAAACUCUGGAUCAAUAAAAGAAUCGUCACGAUUCUCUUGUGAAGGCUAGAAAAUUGCUCUGCACUUCUGCAGGAGGGUUUGGGUUUUAUGAUGGUCUCCUCUUGUUUAUGCGGUGCCUAUGAUUCUCGGUGGAUUAGAGUAUACGGAGUUUGUUUGGAUACCGCUAAAGUUUAGCACAUGUCACAUCGGAUGUUUGGAUGCUAAUUAGGAGUAUUAAAUAUAUGCUAAUUACAAAACUAAUUGCGCACAAUUGGAGUCUAAUUCGCGAGACAAAUCUAUUAAGCCUAAUUAGUCCAUGAUUUGAUAAUGUAGUGCUGCAGUAACCAUUUGCUAAUGAUGAAUUAAUUAAGCUUAAUAGAUUCGUCUCGCGAAUUAGCACAGGAUUCUGCAAUUAGUUUUAUAAUUAAUUCAUAUUUAGUCCUCCUAAUUAGCAGCCGAACAUCCGAUGUGACACUGUUAAAGUUUAGCACCGGUAUCAAACACCCCCGCAAUAUGUGGCCACCUUUAUUUCUGUAUAUAUGUUUGUCAUCUUGACUAACUUUUGUUUUGUAUGGUUUCCUUGUGGUCUAUAUAUCCACCAACCACCAAAAUGUAGAUCUGUAUAAUAGUCGUUGAAUGAGGCUUGUGUCCAAAUCAUUGUAGGCUGUAGAGCAUAUGCGAUUUGUGUCUUGUCUUCCCUUGGAAUCCGAGAAGACUCUAACAAUAAGUUAGACGAGUCGUAUAACAAAUAUCUAUACGCCUUGUGAAAUCAUGUGCCACCAGCCUUUCGGCCCCUGUGUUCAUGUUAUUUUUGGAAAUUAGCACGGAAUAAUUGAGAUCAGCACAUCCCGGGCAGCAGCGUGAGCACCGAGCAGGAGCAGCAACUGUUUGUACGCGUACGGAACGCCACCGCCUGGCUCCUAGUACACUGUACAUGGAGCCGUCGCACGUACGGUUAGCUACCUGCCGGUACAAUACAAAGCGUCAAGGCAUAAUCUAGCUGUAACAAAGGGACAGCCACUAGAAUCCAUAUCCAUCCAGCAGCCUGGCCUCUAAGCACCGGACCCCACGUGUCAGCGAAGAGAAGGGAAGAGAUCAGAUGCGGAAGUGAGCUACAGGCUACUGGUGGAAUGGAGGUGUUCUUGUUAUCUUGUACCCCGAGAGAUUAGCGCGGGUGGUCGUGAGCCGUGCAUUGCGCAGCACAACUGAGCAAGCUUACGGACAAGAGGAGGAUCUCGGCGGAAGGGCCUGAAGCGGUGAAGCCUUGGUGACGUGCACAGAUGGCGACUCCUCUCAACGGGGACGUGCUACCGACACUGCCCGCGGUGGCGCGCGUCAAUGAUACGAUGCCCCCUUCGUCCCAACAAAUCACACCAAACCGUCCAGGAAACUUCACAAGCCCCCGUGGCAUAAUUUCGGGGCUUUUCUUCGAAUGAAAAAGAUAAAAACACUUCUCACAUACGUUUCGGAGGAAUUUCAUGGCAAAUAUCGUACCCCAGCUCAUGCCAGGCCCUGAAGGAUUCGAAGCAAAAUGUUUCCGAACAUAGCCGGAAAAGGAAUGAUUGUGCAUGCAGUUAUUCUCGUCCAGAAAGAGAUGGGAGAUCGACACCAACAUUUGCUGGCCAUACACUACCUCCAGGGACCAGGGGUGGAUCCGGUAGUAGGGCAUGGCCAAGCAAAAGGAGAGGGACUGAUCCUUCAUCCUUGUCAGAGAAUGGCAGGUGGUUAGCUAGCAUUAGCAUGCAUUAACAGCCUUGCCAGCCGUCCCAGACCAGCACCGGACCACCACCACGUACGCAAGGUUACGGCGUCGUGUGACAAGAGUAGAGCCACAGGGAAGAGAGCAAGCAAGGCGCCGAGGCAUGCCCCAUGGCUACGACCCCAUGCCUUUGCUAUUGUGAAACUACGGCAUCUCAGUCGCAGCAAUCAUAGCAUAGUAGUAUAAUAGACCUACGGCAAGUGAAGCAUCUCUAGCUUAGGUCUCCAGCCAUGAGCCAUCAUCAGAUGAGAAUGAGAAUGAGAUGCUGGUGCUGAAAAAGAGAGAGCGUAGUAGUAGGAACAGCACUUGCUCAGACAUGCCGUGCUGCUGAGUGAUAGAUUACUGACAUGCCGAGCUUUAGAAGGCGAUCGAUGCGCAUCGGUAAAGGCGGACAUGGCGAGAGCGGAGGGAGGCCAGUGUAAUGAAUGGAAGCUCUGGUCAAAAGUGCAGGGAAAGCCAUGCUGUAGCUUUGGAUCUACGCAAAAGUGAACAUCUGUACUCGUAUGCAGGUUUACACUAUGUGUUCAUCCUUACCUGAAAAGAAAGGUCGUACAUGGAUGUGUGAUGAACAAGCUCUAUGAGUAGUGGUAUCUUGGAUUGUGUGUAGUCUACACACAGGGUAGGCUUAGAAUCACCAGCAACAAGAAAUACAUGGCGGGAUAGCAAUAUGCAGUUCAGAACUCAAAUUUCAGAGAGUGCGGUUUGGUUGCAGGGCAUGGCAGUUGAGCAUGAAGUGAACACCACACUGCAGAGAAUUUUGCUGCCAAGUUGAUUUAAUAGCCUAUUUCACAGGCGAUGCUUCAAUGAGCGAAAUUGGCGAUAACGGACCAAACAUGACAGGCAAGCGUCAUUACUCUCGUCAUACGGCCUGUCUGCAUAAGUAGGUGGUUUUUCCUUUCUAGCCAGUUGGGCAUCCAGCGAUUGGACAAGGCAGCAUGUGCAUGUGACUGCAGAAAACUCGUGAAGGAGCACGCAUGAUCUAAGCAGUGCUCACGAGGACAACAAUACGACAACGAAUGAUUCCUGGGAUAAAUGACAGUUUAGGCUACAUCGCAUACGUGUAACUCUCAUCUCUUGUGCGCAGGCCGCAGACAUCAAGGCCUCAACUGACCACCAUGUGAUACACUUUUCUGAAGCUAUCUUGGAUGAAACUCUGUUUGUCAAGAAAAAUCUGAACCAGGCUAUCAUAGGACUGCAAGUACAAGCAUAUGUGUAUAGAAGAUGAGCUUUCGUUGCUUUAUGCUCAACAAUCAUAAGAUUAGCUGAAGCUUCAAGCCUAGUUUGUGCAUCAGGGAACUACUAUCUCCGUUCCAAAUUGUAGGUCGUUUUGGCUUUUCUAGGUUCAUAGAUAUUAUUGACAUAGAUGCAUAAUAAUAUCUAUGAACCUAGAAAAGCCAAAACAAUCUACAAUUUGGAAUGGAGGGAGUAAUAAAAUUCAUAGAACCAUGUCCUAUAUACAAGAGUUGCUGUAAAACAAUACAGGCUAGGAAACUAGGUAUCCCUGCUAGAUAACUUCCAACUGCAAGAUCUUACCUCCAACAGCACGUUACUUAUUAGUAGUAACAAACAGUCUGGAUUCGGUCAUCACUAUCUGCUUGAGAAUAUUGGAAGCUUGAAUCAAGCCAACGAGUCACCUUUGCAUUGGCAGGGAAAUCAGUUCAUUUUCCCUACCAAUCAAAUCCCUACCCAUCCAAACAAACCCUCACAGAAGUACAGAACCGCACCUAUCAUCUAUGCAGAGAGUGAGCAGCCACAAUUCGACGAAAGAACACAAAAAAGGUGAAUAUGCAGAAAUUCUAAAAUUCAAACAGAAAGCUCAAAUACUAUGCAAUAUUGACAAACGAUUUUGACAAUUUUGAUCAGCAGCCAUAUUGUUGUGCAGACAACAGGAAACAUGAUCAUAACUCAUUAGAAUUAUUGUAGAAAAAAAAGCACAAAACUGAGCUAAAAGAAAGAGCAACACAGACAUUAUCCUCAUUAGGACCGCAGACUUGCUCAUCACACUAAUAAGGCUGAUCGGUCUAAAAAACCAGGUUGAGAGACGCUAUAAGCUACAAGUCACUUUACCCUGAGAAGUUUCAGAUCUCUUUGAAUUUCUCCAGGAAUGAGUUACUUAACCCAGAGCCUGUAGCUCAAGCUAGUGUCAAUCAUAUAUAUAUUAUACAAACACCCUUAAUGACAAUGAAAAUCAAUCAGUUGCUGGUUUCAAACAAAGACAAUCUGAUUUUUCCUGUAUUCCUUGUAGAAUCAUUCACUGGUUUUAAGGAAAAACAGAAACUAUUUUUUCUGGCAUUUUACAAUACUGUUCAAGGUACAUCAACCCCAGGGUUUUCAAGGUAGCUUCCCUGCCUAUCAAGGCACGAAACUGUAAAGCACUCACCACAUGGCCAGUGGCGGAGCUAGAACACAAAUCAAGAGAGGGCCAUUAGUACUAAUCUGUCGCUUAAUGUGCUCAUUUUUUUAAUUCCUAAGCAUCAGUUUGUAGCUGGUUAAUGGUUUUUGCAAUUGGCAAGGAGGGGCCAUGGUCCUCUUUGGCCUACAUGUAGCUCCGCCAGUGCACAUGCCGCUAAGGCGCUAACCAUCAGGUACAAAAUUGAUUAUUUUGCUAUCAUCCGCGAGCCACAUCAAUCACACGACCCAAGUUCUAGCAUCAAGAACAGAAAUUUGACUCAUUAGAAACACUGAUCUCUCUGUCUUCAUGUAUAGAAUUGCUUGUAGAUGAAGAUGAAAAGAUGACUAGGCAUAACCACACCAAUUUUUUCAGAAAAUAAAAAAGGCUGCCUAAACAUAUGACUAGCAAGCGUGCUCGAAAAGCUGACCAAGUAUAGUGGUACAGUAAAUGACCCUUAAAGCCUUGAGUAUACUUGUGAUUGUGAAAGUAAACUUAAAAACAGUGAUGAUAAUAUGAGACAUAUUCACAGAUGAUAGUAUAGUAUCUAUUGGUAGUGAUAAUGUGCACACAUUUUAGAGAUGUACUUGACAAAAGGAUAGGACAAUGAACACAAUAUACAUCCAAGGAAAUGUUAACAGUAGAAGUACCACCAGUAGUCCAUGUACUGUGGCACAGAGCCUCUCUCAACUUAAAACAUUAUCUUAUUUUAAGAUACCUAAGCAAUCCAUGACCAGUUCUACCAGAAACCAUCACAUUCAUUGUACAGCAAUAGACAGAUGAUUUAUCAUUCAUAGCAUCAUCAAUUCAAGCGUACCACAUGGCUAUUUGAAUCUAAGAGUUUGACCACAAGAUUCAUCGCAACAAUGUUGAAGUAACAUUCCACCUGGCUUGCACUGAUUUGACUUGUAUAUCCUGUUUUAUUAAAUAAUAUAACAGGCUCAGCCACCAUAGGAGCUAAUAAUUACACCUAACCUAUAUGACUAUACCCACAGCCCAGCAUAUUUACGCAUUAUGGAUUAUCUUCUUCUCAUGUUUGAAACUAAUUUCCCUAAGUAGCAUGCUUACCAAGCAACGCCCAAGGCUGUCAUACACAUAAGAAUCAUUUCACACAGAGUUAUCAGCGGAAGAGAGAAGUACAACCCUAGCUGUGGUCAUGUGGUAUUAGUACACAAGGGAUAUGAAGGGGAUAAUAGAACCACAAAACAUUUUAAAAUGUUUAGGGCAUUCGCCAUCAUCAGCAGGUAAAUUUAAAAAUGAAACAGAAAUAUUAGCCAAACUAUCCACUAAUGCGUUUAUGGAAUCUGGUGAAAUUACAAGCUUGGAUGCUUCUGCAGUAAAAAUCUAUCUACUAUUUAUUUUGGAUCUUUUCUAAAAUUCUUGAUUGGUUCUCCUGAAAUACAUAAGUACAGUUUAGGAAGCAGCUUUUCAUUAUGUUAGCCUGCCACAUGUAUGAAGACAGUGCAAGUACAAACAAGACUAUGAAUAAAAAUGGAACGAUGGUGUAGUACUUCCGAUCCUUGAUUAGUGCCUUAGUCUUUCUAUGCCGUGGUAUUCUGAUAUGUUAAUCAGUCAUUUCUUGCUUAAUUGUCUCUAUUUUUUUCAUCAGAGAAAUCAAAGUUUCAUCUAGAACACAAUUUGUUCUUUUUGUUUCAUCUUCCCCCACCCAUUUCCCAUUAAAUUUACACAAUUCCUUUGGGUGUGGGCAAACCUGUGCUUGCCCACACCCUCCCCAAUGGCAGCUAUGCUUAAAACUUAUGUUAAGACAUCUAAGCAAUCCAUUCACAUUUUCACCAACAGGAUCUAUUGCAACAAUGUCAAGGCAACAUUCCAUUUGGCAUGGGGUGACAGUUUGAAUCUACAAUUUUAUUAAAUGACAUAAUGGGCUAGGUAACCAGCAACAAUGUCAAGGCAACAUUCCAUUUGGCAUGGGGUGACAGUUUGAAUCUACAAUUUUAUUAAAUGACAUAAUGGGCUAGGUAACCACAGAAGCUAAGACUCUGCACCCUAUAUAGCCAUGUGGUAAAUAUUGUUCUGCAUCUCCCAUACAAACUGUAACUAUGUUCGAACAAAUUUACACGUUUACUUAAGUAACAAAUUAUGCAUUUCCUUCUAAUGUUUUAAAACUAAUUUAUGUACUCAUUAGAAACGCCCAAGGCUCUCAAACAACAUAAGAAACAUUCCAUAGCAGAGUUAUCCGCUGGAGAGAGACAAGUACAGUCCUAACUGUGGUCAUGUAGUAGAAGUACAACCAAAGGUGAAGAGGAUAAUACAACUGUGAAACAAUUCAAAAUGUUCAGGGCAUUCGCCAUCAUCAUCGGGAAAAUUUCAAAUGGAAACAGAAACAACAUCAUAGUGUUCAGCCCGUGUUCCAUCCACACCAGAAGUUCGGGACCACACAUCGCAACCAUCUUAUUGGAAGCAAAUCAGAGGCAGCCUAGGGUUCGGGGUGACCUGAGACGCGCGGAUCACUCGGCGUGGGCCUCGGCGGCGGCGAGCUCCUGCUGCUGGAGGCGCUCGAGCGCCUUCUGGUGCGCCCAGGUCUCGAUGGUGAGGUCGGGCUUGGCGUUGAGCCCGACGCCGAGGAUGACGACGGUGAGGAAGGAGGUGACGUAGCAGGGAAGCUCCCAGUCCUCCCACAUGCGCGACUCCCCUGGCGGCGGCGGCGGCCGGUUGAAGAGGUACCCCUUGGGCUGCUCCUCGUGCCCCGGGGUCGUCCACCGCCCGGCCCCCUCGCCGCCGCCGCGGACGCGCGCCGCCCCGCGCAGCCGCGCCCGCAGCAUCCCACCCGCCGCCGAGGAGAUCGCCCGCAUCGAGCCCGAUUGGGUGCGCGUCGAGAUCGGAGAGGGGAAGAGGUCGUCGAUUUGGGUGCUUGGCUGGCUGGGAGGUUGCGCUGUGGAGACUGGCCCGGUGUGUGAGGUGUCCCGCUUUGGAAGUGUUGCAAAUGGGCUGGGAUUUGAUCAAGGCUUGUUAACCUGGGCUUUGAGAGAGUAAAUGGGCCGUGGUUUACUAAACUCAUCAAGUGAGCACCCGCGUUUACUAAAAUUUUCGGAACCAGCAAGGUUUUAACAAAAGAAUAACCAGCUGCAUAUUAUCGGAAAAAAGAUCAAAAUAACCAAUAGCAUUGUCGUUUUGAAAUGUUCAAGCACCUUAAAUGUACAUUCCGACAAAAGUAUGUAAGAUGCAAAGAGAGAGUAACGGGUUAAUUAUCUAUAUACCUAUGGUCCAUUUCUAAUUUUGACAUUUCUGGCACCAUCAUCGAAUGCAUGAACAGCACCAGGGUGGAGCGAGAUCCGCAGAAAUUUUAAUAUUUUGCAUCUUUGUCAAGUGUGUAGAAGGCACUUAUCAUGCGGUCUCAAGUAUACACCAUGAAUAUCAGGCACUGACACUGAUCUCACACGGAUAAGACUCUUGCAGAUCGAGCAGUCUUCUCUGCCAAUUAGGCAGCAAGAAUCAGCAUAGUUAGUUACUUAUAUUAACCCAUUUUCCUUUCUCACCAGCUCAACUCGACGUGCAGCUUCUCUCUCUGCUGUCUGUACAAAAAAUUCAGCCCUAUACAGCAACAUUGGACGAUACACUUGCUUCCGCGGUCUCGAUUAUCAGUUUGGCAAUCGAAGUGAAUCCUAGGGCUGAAAGCACACGUAUGGCAUUGGCAAGCCGGGAAAUAUGAUUCCUCGUUUCCAGGGGGGUGAAAUUAUCAGGUUCAGCUCCCAUCAACUGGGCAGUUUCAUCCAUCGCAGCAUGCUCACCUACCCAGAUGAAUCUAUUGCGAUCUAAAUUAAAUUGAUGGAUACGUGCCGGGUACCCUCACAAAAGAGGCUAAGACAACCAGGCACCAAAAGAUCAAAGGUCCAAAACAGCUAGAAGUAUAUGCUGAGGCGGCCCAAGAGAUACCGCGGCCCACCUCCCGACCUCCUCUGGUCAGGGGCUGAGGGCCACAGCCACCAGUCCGACCAAAUCGAGGACGGAGGCCGCAAGGGACCUACAGCGCUACAACUGAUUGAUCAAAUGUUUCAAUUCAGACAAUAUUAAUCAAACAAACAAUUGCUACAUUGUUAUAGUAGAAUCAUUAUAAAGUCACAUGUAAACUCAGCUGAAUCAUUUUGAUGCAUGUAAAAAAAUUUAAACAAAUCCAUUUAACUGGUUAUAGCAAACCAAACUACCAGUCUGGCAGUCCCGAUGGCUAAAACUUAAAAAAAAAACAAUCAAGUCUAUUGUAUAAUCUUUCAGUAUAUACAACUCGAAGCCAGCAUAACAAGGCAUCUCCAUAAUGAGACGUCAAUAUUUCAGUAGUCCGUUUCAAUAGGUAAAAUUGCCUUACACAGCCCCCUCGUACAAUAAAAGUCCACCGCUCAAUUCAGUAUCACAACAGCAAACUCUAUUUUGUGACAAAUCAGUCAGUCCUAAAGGCAAAUUCCCCAAUCAAAUUCCGAUGUUGUCACAGCAAAACAAAGACACCUGUGGAGACACACAAUACAGCAGCGAGUACCUUGCCCGGAGCGUCCGCACAUAGACUAGCUUAUCGACCCACUCCGUCACCCCACAGAGAGUUGCCACCACCUUCCCAUUCUGAUCCGACGUCGAACGUUCCCUGCAUGCACUCCCCUCAGUUCAUAUGAAUGGAGAAACGGAGAGAGAAAUGGGAUGGGAAAGGGUGGGUAACCUGAGGAUCUUGUCAUCGUGGUUGACGGGAAUGGUGUCUGUGAUGAUGGUGACAGCAGCGGUUAACACUGUGGUGGGGGUGAGCACCUGGAGCUUGUGGAGUGCUGCCUCGAAGCGGACCCUCUGGGUCUGGUUCAAUGGGAGGUGGGAUCUUUCAUGGCGAGUACGCUGGCUUGGCGAAUGCAAGUCUGUAACAGCCAAAUAGGUGGAGGAGUUACCACAAAAUAUUUAGUUCUAAACGUGCAAAAUUCAGUAGCAUGACUUCCCUGCAAAUCGUGUGCUAUAGAAUUUAGCGGAGUGGUCCCGGAAAAGCUAUAUGAACUAUAGUGCAGCUAUAGCGGCAGCUAUGACAUUUAGCGUUAUGCAAAAAAAAUCAACAAAAUUUAGACCUAAACAUGAGUAAUUUCACAAAUUUCAGCUCAUAUUUCAUAAGUACAUAUCCAGGCGUAAGUGCAAAUAUUAAAAAAAAGUCACAACUCACAAGAUAACUCAUAAGUCAUCACUCACAGCUCAUAAACGACAAGUAUAUAAGUUCAUAACUCAGUCAUAGCAGAGUUAGCGGCGCUAGACUAUUGAAUUUAGUGGUGCUAUUUCAUACAAUAGCGGAGUUAGCGGCAUUAGUGGUAAUCUUUGCAAUAUCGUCGCAGCACCUGUCUAAAAAAAGCUAUAGCGACACUAUAGCGGGCUAUUUAUAACAGUGCUUCCAUGUGAAGCAUAGUCAAGAAAAUUAGAACAUUUGGUUAUCUGAUAAAAGCAUAUGCUACCACUUACAUACGUGCAUGGGUCACACUCACCCAAUACAUUGUGCAAUAUUUAAAUUUAAUCAAUAAAUAUGGCAUGUAUAAACAUAAGUCCAUGACACAUGAGAAUUUCGAGUUAAACAUUCCACCGUGUAAUUUGCCUUUCCACCACACAAGGUGAAGCGACGGGCAGAAGAUUCAGUACUCAGUGUCACCACAUCCUGAAUAGCAGCAAUACAUACUUAAAUGCAGUUCAUACAACACAUAUUCAUACAGAUUUCUGAAAGAUUGAUUCUAUAUAUGUGAAAAAACGACCCAUAAUCCCUUCCAGCAGUAACCUCUCCGCUGCCUCACUGAACAAAUAGCUAUAGGUUUCAGAUUUAACAGAAUGAUCAUUGUAACCUAACUAGUCCCAUCUGUACAGAAUUCUAAUUUUCUUCCAUUAUUAUUGGACAUGACUCGGUUGUUAAGUCCUCUAUUUCGUUCAAACAUUGAACACUGUUCUGACCAAACUAGAGCAGCAUCCUUCACAAUUCAAAGCAGUUAUUCUAUGUUCCCCAUUCUAUCAUCUUUAUUUAUAUCUAGCAUUAAGCCCUCCAAAUUAACAUAACAAAGUUACUGUUGUCAUCGACAACAGAACUUGGGCAGAACCCUUCCCACUAGCAAAUCCCCAAACCUUUGGCCCAAACAAGUGCUCUAUCGAAAGCUUACAUCGAACUCUACAGUAUCUGUGAUUACCAAGUCAGGAAAACGUUCAUAUACCAUGUAAUCUCAAGUACAACCAGCACAUCCGUGCUGACCUGAACUCCCGAUCGUUGGCAAUAAUCGGCCAAAGUGAUUUCAGCACAGGAAUAACACGGAGUUCUUAGGGUUCGUUACCUCUAGAGCCUGUCGGCCGCGGCGGUUGGAGAAACAGAGCUGUCUUUUGAUCCUAACACCAGGCAAUGGCAAGGGAGUGCGGCAGGAUGGUUGGGGAUUGGGGUUGCGGGGCGAGAGCGGCGGCCAGGGAGGGCAGAGGGCCUCACCGCCGUUUGGGCAAGGUCGUGUGGGCGAAUCGGAGCCUGACGGAGCCGAGGAAGGAGGGCAAUGGAGAAACUUGCAAAACCCCUUCACGUUUUACAACGUUUUACACGGCCACGGGCGGCAGGCCGGUGGUAGUCCAGAACUGGCACGGUGGAACGUCAGAUGGGUUGGACUGUUUAUUGAAUUGGGCUGAUUCAGGCCCAAUAGGCAUACUAAAAAGUUGGCUGGAAGCAGCGGCGGGCCGGUCCGGGAUUGGGGCAUGGCCCAUCCCUUGACCUAAAUGGCUAUUUUCUUUCUUCUUUUUUAUUUGAAUUUUUAUAUGUGGGUUUUUUUAGAGGUGCCAGUAUUCAUAGAAAAAUUGUGUAAGAAUGCCAUUCCAAAUUAAAUUAACAUGUUCUUAAUAUUUGAGCGGUCAUCUGGUUCUUCAACUCCAGGGGUUUUAUCAAGCGUGCAGCUGCUGCACUGAACUUAGAUGGCAUAUCCUAAAACCUAUAUCAACAGGAACACAACUACUGCACGCUUCAAAUGAGAACAGAGAUAAGGCAUGAUUCAACAAUCACCUCCUUAAACGUAUGUAUUAAACAAUCACAACACAACUACAUCAUGAAUUCUCUUUGCAGAAGCAUAAAAGCUGCUGGGAUCUCUUAUUAACACGUUUAACAAAAGAAUCACCCCUUAUUCAUCGUGAUACAUACACACAAACACGUCGUACAAUUACCCUUAUGUCGGUCAAAUUCACAGAACAUCCACUGACUGCCAGUCAUGGAACGACAGCUUGUCGAUGGUUGAUGGCCGGAAAAGGAGAGGAUUGACAUCCCAGCCUUUCAGGUUUCCUCUCGCCCAUCUCAUCCUCACGUUGUCAAUCUCCAGGCCGGAGAUGUGCUCCAGCAUCAUGCCACCGGUCUUGUGCUUCACCAUCUCCUGGCACCCAGGCCUGUAAUCAUACAGCCCUCCUGUGUAGUUUGUCCAUCGCUUGUAUGUCAGAUCGACAUUCUUGAAUUUCAGGUUGCGGAGUAGCCCGUGCUUUGAUCCAGCCAGGAAAACUCCAUUUUCUGAUACCGAUGAGAUGUUGAUGAAUCUUAUGUCUGAAAUGGUGCCCUCUUUGGAGUCUGGGUGCCUUGGGCAGGUUGUGAUGUAGAUCGGUUCAGCUCUUCCCCACCAUAGAGGAUGGUAGUAUCUGGUGCUCAUUUUGAUGUUUGAAAACACCACAUCGCUCACAUUCCCUGCAGAAGUUAUGCAAGUCUAUAUAAAGGGAAGCUGAAAGCAACUCCAUAAGCAGCAGUUCAGCAUAUGAGUUUGAUGGUGCUAAAACAGUUUAUAGUAUGUCCAGGCACCAUAUAGUAGUAAAUGCGAGGUUCAGGUUGCCUAAAAAAACUGUCCUCCGGAACUUCUUAAAACACUAUUGCUGUUUAGAAGGCUUAGAAGUUGAGAAAGAAACAGUAAGGAUUAUUCAGUAUAUAAUACCUAAUUGUAUCAACAUACAGAGACAAUUGCAAGUAUACAUAGGUCAUUUACCUCCGUCCCGGAUCUGCAUGCCAACUCCUCGAUGUGAAUCAACUAUCGUAAUGUUGUCGAAGAGCAACCUCUUGAAGCUGAAGGAGCUCUGACUUCCAAAUUUGAUAGCACAAGAUUUAGUCCGGAUCCAACAGUUUGCUGCCGUCAAGUUGUAAACAGGGCCAGCGGAUGACUUCGAGCAUAUUGCAUCAUCUCCGGUGUCAAUGUGGCAAUUGGUUAUGACAGUGUUGUUCGAAUACUCAAUGUCAAUGCCAUCAUUGUUGGGAGUGUUAAAAUCCCCAAAUAUGGACACAUUGUGGAUCACUGUGUUGUCACAUCUGACAAGGUGAAGGCUGCAAGCAAUGCAAGUGCAGAGCCUGUUAAUUUUGCCCAAAUGCACUGACGAAUACCAUUUAUUUCUGCUCAACCCAUGUCCACGUCCUAACUAGGAAAACGUAUCAGGAUAAGUUAUUUCCCACAAUCACAAGAAAAACAGGCGCAGCAGAUCAAAAUUUGUUUAAUUAUACGUACUAGCAUCUUUGGAAUGGAAGAAUCAGACAAGCUUGCUGUCUCUACCAGUUGAAAUUAGCAGCCAUGAACCAUCAGUAUGGUCCAUGAAUUGAUCGAUGGAAUUGGGGGGAUAAAGGAAUGCUCACCACCAGUAGGCAGGCUGGUUGAGUGUGAUGUCAUGGAUCCUGACAUCCUUGGAGUCGAUGAAGCCGACCAGCCGCGGCCGGCACUCGUCGCCCAGCUGGCAGUCGCCGGUGGUGUUCCAGCUCACCAUGACGUUCUUCACCUCGCUGGGCGUGACCACGAACGCCCCACCCUGGCCGUUGAUCUCGCCGCCGCCGGUGACGCCGGCGCCCGUGGUGUUCUCGGCCAGGACGACAUACCACCGGCGAGAUUCGGGUGGGUAGUCCGCCUGCCGGGUCCCGCCCAGCAGACGCGCGCCGGGGGCCACCUCCAGCACCACCCGUGACCGGAGGUGGACCGUCGCGGUCAGGUAGUUGCCCGGCGCCGGGAGGAGAACGCGCCCCCCGCCCGCCGCCGCGCAGGCGUCCACGGCGGCCUGGAUCGCCGCCGUGUCGUAGCGGGACCCGUCGCCCGCCGCGCCGUAGUCAACCACGGAGAAGACGCGGCUGGACCUCGCGGCCCGGAUUACUACUACCAGUAGUAGCAGCAGCAAGGGCGCGGCCGAGAGCUGAAGCGGAGGAGACGCCAUUGCGACGUCUGGCUCCAAGAAAUCAAUAAUUACUCUCUUCUUCUCUACUGGGCGCUAUCAAGUUGGAAUCUUUGCGGCUUGGAGAACCAUGCGCGGCGGUAGUGUAGAAUUAUCGCACGGAACUUGGUCGAAGAUGCUUAAUUUUUUCAGUUGGAUUGGAUCGGGGUUCAUGUCGCCGUCGCGAAGAUGUCCUGGAACAGAAAGGGUUUGUUCCGAACGAUAACGGCAGUAUACCCGUAUAGAUUGUUGUCCCUAAAUUUUUUAGACUAUAACAAGAGGUAUUUAGAUCUUUAGUCCGGACUAAAAUUCAUGUCACCCCAAAUAUUCGGAGGCUAGGAGGAUUAAACAAGAGCUAAUUAUAAAACUAAUUACAUGUAGGCUAAUUUAUGAGACGAAUUUAUUAAGCCUAAUUAAUCCAUCAUUAGCACAUAUUUACUGUAGCAUCAUAUUGUCAAAAUCAUGGACUAAUUAGGCUUCAUACAUUCGUCUCACAAAUUAACCUUCAUCUGUGCAUUUGGUUUUAUAAUUAAUCUAUAUUUAAUACUUCUAAUUAGUAUCUAAUAGGAAUUUUAGCACCUCUAAAUUUCUCCCUCCUCAAAUAUACCAACUCUACGAUGUGCUUCCACUGGCCACGUCAGCCAACUGCUUCCCGCGUGAGAUUUCAGCGCAGCCAAAGAAAGAUGAGACGAGACGGACGGUCAGAGGACGCAGCGGGACUACCAGGGGAAGCCCGCCCCCGCUAGCAAACAUAUAUUCUCGGUGCGCAUAUUCGAGAUUUUAGAAUCUCUUUCCGACCAGGCCAGGCCGAAUCGGGCCACCACUUGGGAUGGGAAUGGCUCAGCGGUUGCGGGACGGGUAGCUCGACGGUGGUAGGUGCUAGGUGCUGGUCGCGGGGGAAAGCCCAGUCACGUGGUCGUGGUGCUCCGACUGAAAAGAGGGGAGGUGGUAGGAACAGUCUAAGGGGCUCGCCGCGUCGCCGUUGCUGCGCUGCUUACUCCACCGCAUCCAGCCACCGAACCUCGCUGCCGCCAUGCCACCGGCCGCCCUCACCAUCUCCGUGCUCGAUUUGCCCAUGCCGGACCUCGCCCAAUCCUCCCCGUACCAGCCCAGGCGAGCUCGAGGCGCGUCCGAUGCGGGUGACUGCGCCGUCUCUGACCGUCGGGCCUCUUCGGAUGCGAGUGUCCGCGCCGCCUCCGGAUGUCGGGCCUCAUCAGCCGACUGUCAUGAACUGACGAAGGCGGACAGAAGACGGGAGUUAGAAAAUACGCUUUUGUUCUGAUGUUUACGUUUUGUGUAACGCUGUCAUGUGGGACCGGUCGGUCAGUGUCUGUAACCGGAAGGAGUCGGGCUUAUACUGUACCCGAUCCAAAAACUGUUGUUCAUCUUCUGAAACAAAGAAUAGAACACUCGUUCAAGGGGAUCAGGGUCCUCUGCCCUCCCCACCGAUAUCCACCGUGUCUCUGCUCACGUCGACGGCGGUCCGCCGGCGGCCACGGGUGUUACAGUGGUAUCAGAUUCCGUUCGUCCUCGGCGUGCUGCUGCUGUGCCUCCAUUAUCCCGGCGAUUGACCUCGCACAACGACUGGUAGGGUGAGAUCGGGUUUUGUGCCGCGCAGCACCGGCCACUACCCUGAUUUCCUCGUAAUUCCCGAGCACGCGGGUCGAUUUACGGAGGUGGUUCGCCUCGGCACGUCCGAUUCUACCGGGUCCCUUGCUCAUUUGGUCCGCGACAUAUUCUCCUACCGGAAUUUUGUGGAUCUGGUUUUCUUCCUCAUCUGUCUGGAGGCGCGGGUGUUGGGUUCGUUGGCGGAAUUUCUCUUGAGAGGUGGCGUGUGGUGGCGGUAGAACGGAGCAAUUCACUGUCCUGGGCGUCGCGUCGAUCUUCUCCGACGCGUGUUUGCAGGAGCUGCUAGUCGACUGCUAUCAUCCACGGCUUGCGCAGUUGCAGCGCGUGUCUCUGACCAGAGCUAACACCAGCACGCCGUGCAUCUUGUUGAGCUUUGGGUGCAGUCACAACGGCUCCUCCUAAGCCCUCAGUACAGACCACCUUGCUGUUAGCAAAGAUGGAGGAACAGGCAACUAAAGAUGAUGCAAGAUGGGAACAAAUUACUGAAAGUCUGGAUCUCUUGUUUGCCAAGGUGGGUGAGAUUGAUGUAAGUCAGCAGAAAUUGGACACUCGCUUUGAUAUGUCUACAAAGGUCCUUUAGCAGCUAUUAAAAGAUCAACAGGUCUUGGCCAAGCAAAUGGAAAAUACAGGCCAGGCAGUGGCACAACUCACAUUGGCACAGAUGGCAGCAAGGAGAGACCCCCCAAGUCCUACAGCAUCAGAGGUGUCCAUGGAGCAGCCAUUCUAUCAGAACACGACAAGGGCUGAAAGGGGCAGUGCUACUCCAAGGUUUGGUUUUCACUCUGACAGGCCAAGAAAGGAAGAUACGUUCCGUCCCAAGGUGGUUUUGCCUAAAAUGAAUUUUCCCCAAUUUACAGGACAACAUCCUUGCAUUUGGAAAGACAAAUGUCAAGAUUAUUUCAAAAUCUUUGACAUACCCAGGAGCAUGUGGGCUACUUAUGCUUCACUCAACAUGGAUGACAAUGCAGCUAAGUGGCUACGGAUGUAUAAGAAAAAGUAUGGCUUAGAAGAUUGGGACAUUUUUAUACAAGCUGUGGAGGCCAAGUUUGGAGAUAAUGAUUACAGGACGACUUUGACACACCUGUUGGAAUUGCAACAGCAAGAAUCCCUGGAAACUUAUAUACACACCUUUGAAGACCUGCAAUACCAUGUGACAAUGCACAACAGUGAAUUGGGUGAGCUAUUUUUUGUGACACAGUUCAUCAAGGGUCUUAAGUUGGACAUUGGCUGUGUAGUGCAAUCACAAGUCCCUGACACACUGGAAAGAGCUAUCUUACUGGCACGAAUACAACAACAGGUCUUGGAUAGAGGGAAAGCAAGGUGGCAGAGAGCUUCUAGCACUGCCAGACAGCUCACUCAGUUACCAAAAGGAGACAUCAAAACCACUACCCAAACUUCUCCUCUGUGGAGAGAGAGACAAACAAGGGAUUACAGACGAGCAAAUGGAUUGUGUUAUUUAUGUGCUGAACCAUAUGAUGCCAAUCACAAAGCUGUCUGUACAAAAAGACCUCAACCUCCAGCUCAAGCUAAUGCUUUAGUGCUGAAUGACUUGGAUGUGGUAUUGACUAGUGAAGUGUUGAACCAGCUGGCAAUAGAGGAUGCUUUGGCUGCAGAUUUCUGCCAAUUAUCUCUGAAUGCAAUUGCUGGUACCGAAGUGGGAGAAGCUAUGAAGAUUCGGGCAUUAGUCAACAACAAAGUCAUGCUAAUUCUGCUAGAUAGUGGUAGCUCCCACAGUUUUGUGAGCAGCUCUUUUCUAUCAACUGUGGGGAUUUCUGCUAUACCAACCACACCAAAACAGGUCAGAUUGGCAAAUGGUGACACAAUACUUACUGAUCACUGGGUUCCUCAGCUAUCAUGGUGGGCCAAUGGUCAUACACUACAGACUGAUAUGCGAGUACUACCUUUGGGGGCUUAUGAUGCUAUCCUAGGGUAUGAUUGGCUAAAACCUCACAGUCCCAUGUGUUGUCAUUGGGAAGAUAGGACUAUACAAUUUGUGGAUAAAGGGAAGGAAAUUGUACUCAAAGGAGUACCACCACCAUCACAAAAGCUGCAGGAAGUACCUACCCAUCAAGUGGUGAAAUGGUCAAAAGGGAAUGAUGUUUGGGCUCUGGCAGUGGUGGAAGCAGUCCAAGAGGUGCAGGAUGCAACAGGCAAUGACAGUAUUCAGUAAUUGCUCCAUAACUUUCAAGAUGUCUUUCACCCACCAAAUAAUUUACCACCUUCCAGGUUCUAUGACCAUCAGAUUCCAUUGAUCCCCAAUGCUAUUGCUGUUAAUUCAAAGCCAUAUAAAUAUUCUCCUCAGCAUAAGGAUGAGAUUGAGAAACAGGUCAAAGAGCUAUUAGCUGCAGGUCUCAUUACUCACAGUACUAGCCCUUUUGCCAGCCUAGUGUUAUUGGUGUUAAAAAAAGAUGGAACUUGGCGUUUCUGUGUGGAUUAUAGGAAAUUGAACUCUCUAACAGUGAAAAACAGAUUUCCAAUACCUUUAAUUGAUGAGAUUCUGGAUGAAUUGGCUGGUACUAGGUAUUUCAUAAAAUUAGAUAUGAGAGCUGGCUAUCACCAAAUCAGAAUGAAAGAGGAAGAUGAGUACAAAAUAGCCUUUAAGACACAUCAAGGGCACUACCAGUUCAAGGUAAUGCCUUUUGGCCUGACUAAUGCACCUGCUACUUUUCAAUGCAUAAUGAAUGAGAUUUUAGCUCCUUUCCUUAGAAAAUUUGUUAUGGUCUUCUUGGAUGAUAUUUUGGUAUAUAGUCCAUCUCUGGAGACACAUAUUCAGCAUCUGGCUCUAGUCCUUCAACAGCUAAGAGAGCACAAGUUGUACAUGAAAGCAAGUAAAUGUUCCUUUGCACAACCACAACUAGAAUAUUUAGGCCAUAUUAUCUCGGCUGAAGGAGUGGCAACAGAUCCAAACAAAACUCAAGACAUGCUCAAUUGGCCACCACCUACUUCAGUUACUGAAUUGAGGGAAUUUCUAGGUCUCACUGGUUAUUAUAGAAAAUUUGUUAAGCAUUAUGGUUGGAUUGCAAAGCCACUAACUAACCUCUUAAGGAAGAAUCAGUUUAGUUGGAAUCCUCAAGCUCAGCAAGCUUUUGAUGCUCUCAAACAAGCCAUGUCCAGCACACCUGUACUAGCCUUACCAGAUUUCAACCAACCUUUUAUUGUGGAAACUGAUGCCUGUAAUGGAGGUGUUGGAGCUGUCUUAAUGCAAAAAGGCCAACCGGUAGCAUUUCUAAGCAAAGCAUUGUCCAACCAACAUAAACAUUUAUCCAUUUAUGAAAAGGAGUUUCUGGCCCUUAUUAUGGUAGUUGAAAAAUGGAGGCAGUACCUGCAGAACCAAGAGUUCAUCAUCAGGACUGAUCACAAAAGUCUGCAAUACUUGACUGAGCAAAAUCUGCAUUCUGACAUGCAAAAGAAAGCCAUGGCUAGGUUGAUGGGAAUGCAAUUUAAAGUGGAAUACAGGAAAGGCAAGGAAAAUGUGGCAGCGGAUGCUUUAUCAAGGACACCUCAUUUAUUUGCUAUUCAGGCUGUUUCAUCUGCCCAACCAGAUUGGAUACAAGAAUUGCUUAACUCUUAUACCACAGAUCAGACAGCUCAACAAUACUUAGCACAGCUUGCUAUUACUAAUCAUGAUGCUCAAGGAUUUAGUCUAGACAGAGGUCUCAUCAGAUACAAAGGGAAAUUGUGGGUCGCCCAGAAUUCCGCUCUCAGAACAAAGCUUAUACAUGCUUUACAUUCCAGUGCUAUUGGGGGUCAUUCAGGCAUUCAAGCCACUUUUCACAGACUCAACAAGCUUUUCUAUUGGAAAGGUCUCAAGCAAGAUGUGGAGGAUUUUGUGAAGCAAUGCUCCAUUUGUCAACAAGCUAAGCACUCUAAUACUUUACCUUCUGGUCUCCUACAGCCUCUUCCAAUUCCAGCAGGAGCAUGGCAGGAUAUCUCCAUGGAUUUCAUAGAAGGCUUACCUAAGUCAGAAGGGUACAAUGUCAUCUUGGUGAUUGUUGAUAGAUUUACCAAAUAUAGCCAUUUCAUCCCACUUAAACAUCCUUUCACAGCCAAGACCAUUGCUAGAGCAGUUUUUGAUAAUGUGGUCAAACUCCAUAGAGUACCUAAAUCCAUUGUCUCUGACAGAGACAAGAUAUUCACUAGUGUCUUUUGGAAGGAGUUGUUUCAGUUAUUAGGAACUCACUUACUUAUGAGCACAGCCUACCAUCCGCAAACUGAUGGACAGACUGAACGAGUCAAUCAGUGUUUGGAGAUGUACCUGAGGUGUGCAGUACAUGAGGAAACCAAGCGGUGGAAAACAUGGUUGUCUCAAGCUGAAUUUUGGUAUAACACAUCCUACCACACUUCUUUGGGAUGCUCUCCUUUCAAAGCCCUCUAUGGACACGAGCCUAAUAUUGGAGUUGUUCCUACAGUCUCUCCACCUACAGCUUCUUCAGGGGCAGAGAUGGUUCAAGAACUGCAGGCCCAAGCUUCUGUUCUUAAGGAACACUUAUACCGAGCUCAAAACAAAAUGAAGACUCAGGCUGAUCGUAAAAGACGGCCACAAGAAUAUCAAAUAGGUGAACAUGUGCUCCUCAAACUGCAACCUUAUGCACAAAGCUCAUUGGUGAACAGACCUUACCCCAAGCUGGCUUUCAAGUAUUUCGGGCCCUAUCAGGUUCUGGACAGAAUUGGAGGAGCAGCCUAUCAACUGGAUUUACCGGAGGACUCACAAAUCCAUCCGGUCUUCCAUGUGUCCCAACUCAAACCAUUUUUACCUUAUUACACACCAGUUUUCUUUGAUCUUCCUAAAGUUGCAGCUCUUGAUGGCAAAGACGUUGUGCCUGAACAAGUCUUGCAGCGGCGCUUGGUCAAGAAAGGUGGCAAAGCAGUCCCUCAAGCUCUCAUCAAAUGGACUCAUCUACCGGCGGAUGCGGCGACAUGGGAGGACUGGUACGUCGUGCAGAAGCGUUUUCCUAAGCAACUUGCUGGAGGACCAGCAAGCUCUGAAGGGGGGGGAGAUGUCAUGAACUGACGAAGGCGGACAGAAGACGGGAGUUAGAAAAUACGCUUUUGUUCUGAUGUUUACGUUUUGUGUAACGCUGUCAUGUGGGACCGGUCGGUCAGUGUCUGUAACCGGAAGGAGUCGGGCUUAUACUGUACCCGAUCCAAAAACUGUUGUUCAUCUUCUGAAACAAAGAAUAGAACACUCGUUCAAGGGGAUCAGGGUCCUCUGCCCUCCCCACCGAUAUCCACCGUGUCUCUGCUCACGUCGACGGCGGUCCGCCGGCGGCCACGGGUGUUACACCGACCUCGCCGGAACCUUCGCCGCACAACCUCCCAUCUUGAGUGGAGCUCGAGAGAAGAGGAGGAUGGCUGGAGUGGUUGACCCGCCUCCAUGGCCGCCAUGAUUGGAGCUCGAGAGGAGGCGAAGCUCGCUACACGGGCCCGUCGCCGAUUCAUCAUCCACCCGCUCCAGCCCCACACUCCCUUGAUCCCCUCCUUCCCGAGCUCCGGCGACCACUCGCUGAAGGGGAGGAGAUGAGUCAAGUUUAUAGAUUGGCCCCUGAAAAAAAAUCAUUCGCAGAUUAGUCCUUGAAAGAAUUAUAGGUCACCAGUUUAGAUAUGCUAUUGGAGAGGCAAUUUUGAAGUACCUAAGUUUUUCUCUCUCCUAAAGGAAUUUUAGGUAUUCAGUUUUACCGAAGCUGUUCUUAGGUUCAUGAAUGGGAGGAAAGUGGACAGGUUGUUCGGAUCGACUGAAGCUUUGACUCGUCCAUUUAGCUAACAGCCAACAGUAUUGCAAGAGAAAGAUAUUGCAAAAAUUCAUCCGAUUUGAAGCUCUUUAAAGCAGGACACGUCCAUACUAUAUAUAUUCAUGAGUAAAUUACAUCUACCGUACAACAACUUGGAUGGAUGUAUCGUUUUGGUCCAAUAAGUUACAAAACGUGCAAAUUGAUACAUAAACUUCUGAAACUUGUGCAUGUACGGUCACAUGUACUCCGUGGAGCGUAUUUUUAUGCAAGGCCAUUCACAUAAUUAAUAAUUUCUCACUAAAUUCUGCACUUUUACGUUGCUCAAGGUUACACAUAACACAUGUAUAUUGUAUAUAUAGCACUAGUAUACUGUGUAGAUUAGUUGGUUUCGAUCACGACCGACUACGUUAGGCUUAACUUGAUUGGAAGUUGGAACAGCCAGCAUACUCUGUCGUGUUUCUCGAGAAUACGCAGGAGAGCUGCGUAUCUUUGUAUUAAGAACGAGAAAAAAUGUUUGAAACGUUACAAUACGGACCAACCGGGCACACGCACACGGUUUGUCACAAAAUGCUGAGUUACACCUGAGUACGAACAACACAAACUAAAAAUAGAAACAGCUUAGGAGCUACAGGUGUUCAAGCAAUCCUACUGACGCCGGCCAAGCUAGGGUGGCGAGGAAUUUGGCGCCAGCAGCACACCAAAGAUGAGCUUCUUCUAAAAUUUCGUGAACCAACCGUCCAGGGGGCUUCUCCGGUGAUUUGUUGAAUACCCAGUCAUUGUGUUCUUUCUAAAUUUUCCACGAAAUGAGCAUGAAGGCGGAGUCCAGGCCUUUUCUUUUCGCUGCGUUCAUUCUGUUUCCCUUGUGGAGCCACCAGUCAAUCAGCGAUGUCUCAUACGUUGGCGUUAGAUUCUGAAUGUUCAGAGCUGCGCUGAUAUCGUGCCAGACCUGCUGGGUAUAAGAGCAUUUUGCAAAAAGAUGUUCAGAGGUCUCCAACUCCUGUUCGCACAGCGCGCAAGCCGCUUGAUCCUGCAAUCCGCGGCGGUGCCUCCUCUCCGCUGUCCAUAAUCUGUCCUUGAUCGCCAGCCCAUAAAAAACUUGACUUUGAGCGGUGCCCACGCUCGUCCGAUGGGUUUCAAUUCGCUGCUGCAAAUUUGGUGGCGCCUUGGAAGAAAGCUUUGUAGGCUGAUCUAGCAGAGUAAUUACCUGAGAUAUCCCAUCUCCAGGAGACCUUGUCCUCGACUCCAUCAGUUAACUGAAUCCCUGCCACCGCAUACCAGAGCUGUACAUGCUGUGUAGCCCGUCCGACAACGUCGCGGAUCCGCUGCUUGUGCUCUGUCAUGACAUUUCAUUCCUUGAUACUCCACGUGAACCAGUAACUGAAUUAAGAAAAUGUUUUUCCAGGAGGCUAUAGGGAUACAACGUUCCAGCACUUUAUCGUGCAAUGCAUGUUGAUACAUGUCACCGAAUUCUUUUUAGAGCCCUGAUAUCUCUCAGGGUUGAUCCAUCUGAAGUCUAUGUUCAACAAAUUUACAUUUCUUCCCUCCAUCUUCUUAAAAUUAAUAUUUGUGACUUAUUGUAACAAAUUUACAUUGUAAAAUACGCUUGGUGGCGUGUAUAUGACCGUACACGCACAAGUUUGAUAUGUUCGUGUAUCCAUUUGCAUGUUUUACAACUUGGUAGACCAAACUGAUACAACCAUACAAGUUAUUUUGUAUGAUGGGUGUAAUUUACUCUAUAUUCAUUUAUUAACCAGUAUAUUCAAUCAUUCUACUAAUAGACCAGAAACGUCACACUACAUUUGUUAACUCUUUUAUCUUUAAGUAAAAUUUGUUGGCAAAAGUGACUUCAGAAAAUACCAAAUAACACUCCCCACCACUAGUUCGAAGCGGGUAAUGCGAGAACAGUUUACAAACAUCAAGAUGAGAUAUGAGUUACAUACAAUGCUAGGACACAAUAAGAUCUGAGUUUUCUCGCAAUUACUCUUGAAAUUUGUCAAAAAGUAUUACUGGAGGGAGAUGCACAUUAUCCAACCUACUCCAUUUUUUUAAGGAAAAACUACAGUCAAAACAUACCCAUAUGGCUACAUGGCUGAAAAUGUGAGAUACUCUAGGUGGGGAAUAAUACAACCAGGGAAACCAUGGCUCAAUGAGGCCUAUCAAGCGGCAACCUUCUAACUAGGAGGCCUGAGGGCCCAAUACAGCAGCAAAAUUGCCAGCCCGUCCUAGACCAAGCAACGGUUUCCGCUAGUUCCUCGUCUUCAUCGGCUCGUCGUCAUCCUUGUGCAUUCGUGAGGGAACCAACGAAUCCGGAGUUCCCCUCGUCCCUGCAGUCCAAGCCUGCGGUGCGCGAACCAGCGCCCCGACGAGUUUCCUAGUUCCUGCGCGAGAACCAGAAGCCGCUUACAUCUGCAAAUAUCCUCUCAUCUUCUUCUCCGGAGCUCCAACACCAAAGACCUUCCACUUUCGGGUCUCCUUGCAGCUUAAAUUUCUCCGUUCGAUUUGGUGAAUCGGAAGACCAAAGGUAUAAAUCGAUUCUCUCUAGCUGUUGCGAUUAAUUUCCGCUAUAUCUUUAAUCCUAUGCUCCGUGAAAGGAAUGUCUGUGUUUCCUCGUUGUUAAGGGUUAAAUUAAAGCAUAGAUUCAUCUCCUGUUUGGAUGCUUCCAUUUCAACCUUAGGGUUUAGGGGUUUAUGUGUAGUAGGAUAUCUAUACGGCAUUUUCAGUUAGCUGGUUAGCUGAUGGUGUGCCUUUGUGGCGAGUCUUGGUUUGGGCCAUUGUCUACGAGUUUGAUUGAAGGGUCAGGAAGUUGCUGUAUUGCUUGAUAUGUUUGGGAUUUGGGUAGACUGUUUUCGUUUUAGCACAUUCUGACUCCUGAGAAGUUCAAAAGGUAGCAUGGAUUGAAUCCUCUAAGUAAGCAUAAGAGCGAAAGAAAAAUGUUAAGAGUUUGCACUUAUUUUUAGCAAAGUCUUCAUGAACUUGUUAGAACUAGUAAUUCAUUAUAGUAACAUAGAGAGCUUCGAUUUUGUUGUUUCUUCCAAAUUAAGUGGUAAAUUGCUAAAUUUUGGUGUCAUUGGCAGCCGAGUCCUUGGUGCUUGCUAUAUCUUGUGUAUUUAUUUGUUUUCUUAGCCAAUACAUAUAUGUUUCCUCGAAGUCAUCUAAAGCUGCACUGAAGUUUUAUUUUUAACCUUCUUCAAUUGUCGCUACUGAUAAUUGUCACUGAAGCUGCACUGAAAUUUAAUUUUAACCUUCUUCAAUUGUCCCUGAAGCAUGUCACACGCCUGCCUUGUUAUCUAUAUUUCUAUUCGACCCGGCGUCUUAUUGUAUCUGUAGAAAUGAUCUCAUGUUCCACUAAUAAUUAAUAUGGAUUCCCCAUUUAUGCAUUCUUUCAGUUGCACUUGGUACUACCUGAAGGGAAUGCUUCUCAACACACUUAGUAUUUCCUGGCGAUGCUGUACUUUGUGGAACAUGUAUUCUGAGUCUAGCCAGUUACCAGGAAGGUUGACUCAAAGAGUGGAUUUAUGGAAUACUUCAUGCUCACAAGCCUUGAGGCAUCAUGCCAGGAUAGGUUCAGUUAAGAAGAACAUAAAUUCAUCUCAUCUGCAAACUACAGCUUGUUUUGACAGUUUAGGGCGACAGUCGCAGUGCAGACAACCAACAAGAAGCCAUAUACUAAAUGUAAAGUCUGAUAUACUAUCCCAUCACAAGUUUGCUACUAUAAGUUGGCGUUUGGGAAGUAUGCCACGAAAAAUAGGAGGUAUAGCCUCUGGACAAGGUUUUGCAGUGUCUGGGAUGGCUAGUGCUGAGGGUCCUGUGGAUAACGAGGUUGAUAGCACCCAGCCUGCUGAAUCAUCAGCAAAUUUAUCUCAUGGGAAAAAAGUUUACACAGAUUAUUCUGUAACAGGUGAGAGUGCAAAACGAUUCCUUUCUUUUAAAAAUAAAAAAUACAAUGUGCCAAUGAUCAAAGUGGAAUAUCAAAUAGUCAUUCAUAGUUGAACCACAUGACCCGCAGGCAUUCCUGGGGAUGGAAGAUGUCUGUUCCGUUCUGUGGCCCAUGGUGCAUGCAUUAGAUCAGGGAAACCCAUACCUAGUGAGGAUCUUCAGAGAAAGCUAGCCGAUGAGUUGAGAACAAUGGUAUGCAUACAAUAUUCUGCUACCAGGUUCAUGCAUUUGAUUGCGAAAGUUUGUAACUUGUAAGCUUUCUGUUGAUUGGUCCCAUCAUCUGAAUCCUGUGUGUAAACUUUUCUUCUGCUAGGUUGCUGAUGAGUUUAUCAAGAGACGAGCAGAGACUGAAUGGUUAUUUUUCUUUAUUUCAUAACCAUGCAGUUUGUUUUCCAUCUAAAUAGAUGGUGUUGUGCUUAUCCUUGAUUUCGACAUUUUUUACAGGUUCGUUGAAGGGGACUUUGAUACAUAUGUCUCUCAGAUUAGGAAGCCACAUGUGUGGGGAGGUGAGCCAGAGUUGUUCAUGGCUUCGCAUGUUCUUCAGUGAGUGUUAGCCAUGGUCUUUUGAAGAUUUUCUUACUAUUUGCUACUUAGCUAAAGGUUUGUGGGAUAAGUUAGUUUCAGCCAUACUUUGCAGUCCUAAUGAUUCUUUAGCAUCAUGUUCAACUCCUGCAAGUAUAAUUCAGUUCUUGGGUAAAACUGAUCCACUAUAGUUCAAGCAAUAUAUUUGACAUUUUGAUCGCAGGUGCUUCUUUAAUAUGGUCGUUUGGCAUAACAAUGGUGCUGCAUUUAUUUGCAGGAUGCCAAUCACGGUUUACAUGCAUGAUAAAGAAGCAGGUGGUUUAAUAGCAAUAGCUGAAUAUGGCCAAGAGUACGGGACAGAAGCUCCCAUCCAAGUUCUUUAUCAUGGUUGCGGCCAUUAUGAAGCUCUGCAGAUACCAGGAAAGGGUGGUCCAAGGUCAAGACUGUAACAUUUGUAGCUCAGCUUUCAAAUGGUAAGUUUUGUGCCCGAUACGUUGGUCCUUUCUUCCUUUAAAACAUGUCCAAAAUUCAUCAGAGUUUGAAUUUGCACUGACGAUAGAAGGUGUUGCCUGCUGGUUCUUCCAUUGCUUGUGUAGACUUACUGAGCUUGGUAGAGGCAGUUGAGAUGCUCACACUGCCGCACUUUUGUCGCGAAGAACAGAUGGCCAGAAUUUGGCACAGGCCUGGAGCUGGCAAAGGAACGGAGAUCUGCACCCGCUUUCCUAAAACAUUCCAACUGUUGAGCCCCGCGCACUGCCCGUUAUCAUCGUUGCAAGGUCGGAAGCAGAAGAAUAGGAGAUUACCGUUGAUGCCUUUAUUGGAUCGAAGUCAAAAGUCGCAUAGAGCUGAUAUACAUAGUUCUUGUUAAAAUACUGCCGGCAACUAUCUUGAUGGUGUCGUGUACGAACUCUUGUGUUCAUUCACACUUCUAUAUAUAGUUCGACACGAGAAGCUUUUUCGUGUUCGCAAAAGGUAACUUUUUAUUUCAGACCAGAUUUUAGGUCAGUACUUACAAGAUUGGACGUUCUUGUUAAGUGGAGCUGAUUUUGGAAUUAUGAAAUGUGAAGAAACCCUGCUCCGCCGUCGCAUCUUCCGGCUGUUCCGGCAAAACCGUCGCAUCUUCGCAGAAGGAUGUUUUUUUUUCUUAGCGCAUACUUGUGUCUAAUGUCUUGGCGUGAGCUAUAGUUGUCCAUUCAGGCCGCCCGGCUCGGAUCCGGCAGGGCCAUUAUUUUUCGUGCUGGGCCUGGCCCGUCACGAUGGCCACAUCGUGCCGGGCCAGCCCACGGGCUGCACUGGCGGCCCAAGCACAGCCCGUAAGACCUUUUUCGUGCUGGCCCGGCCCGUAAAGCACGGCCAGCUUCGGGCCCCUGCGAGGCACGGCGGGCCCUCACAGCCUGCUCCCUGUGCUAUGCGCCACUACAGGCUGCAGCUGAGCCGUCGUCUCCUCCUACACCGCCACCGUCGUCCCCCCUCCCCGCCGCCGCUUCCCGCAGCCAACCCCCCACGCCGCUGCCAGGCCUCUUGCCGCCGACGGCCCCCCGCGCCGCCGCUGCGGCUGCUCUCCGCUCCCUGCGGCCAGCCCACGCCGCCACGGAGGAGAAGGCCAUGGCAGCGAGCGGUGGGGGUAGAGGGCAACGAGGCCGGGGAGGUGGCUGUCGGAGGCUGGAGGGGAGGGGGAGGUUGGAGGAAGGGGAGCGGACGGGGUAUUUGAGCGGAAGGGGAGGAUGUCAGGGAGCCUGGCAAAGAGCGGAUAGUGGGUGAGAUGGUGUAUUGGUGUGGAUAAGGUUGUCGGUACCCUAAAAUCAUGACGGGUCGGGCCAGCACGGGCCUGAAAAACUUCGUGCCGGGUCGGACUAGGUUCGGGCAAAAAAGAGGCUCCGUGCCAGGCUAACAGGCCGCGGGCGGACAUCUAUAGCGUGAGCUUCAUGCUCCAUGUUGUAACAAAUGUUCUUGAUUGUUCUUCUUAAUACAAUGAUGGGAGGGGGGGAAAAACCCGGCGAGCCGCAAUCCCUGAAUCCCUGGUCAGAAAACUUAACACACCGCAACCCAUCGUAAGACAGUUGAGAUCGCGCUCGCUAUCGACACCAACUCACAGCGAAGAUGCAUCACCGCGCCGCCGGUGACAGAGUCCGAGCAGAGAGUUUCUUUAAACCCAUCACCUGCCGGUUGCCGGCGACACUCUGGUAACGCGCUCACAUGCCGCUGCCGGCACGGGCAGGAGCAGGGGGCCUCUCGAUCUGAUCUCGCCGUGCCCCGCCCGGCCGGUGUCCCAUGCUGCCACUCCUCGCGCCUGUACGGUAGCAUGGGCGCCACCACCUCGUCGUCGUGCGCCGCAUCUGUGCGGGUACGGUGGUCAGCAGAGUGGCCGAAUGGGCACACCACCUCGUGCAUUCAAGACCUUGCCGUCCGCUACCGUGCGUUCAAUUCGUUCCUGAUCGAACAGGAAUGUCUGUUUAUUUGGCCGUGUUUCGGGAGUCCGGCCGGACUAGGGAGCGCGUCGAUUUUCGCAUGAACUCUAUGUGCGUUCGUCUAAUUGAUCUGUUUUGUUUUGCUGGUAAAGCAUGGGUAUAGCAGUCCAGUCAGUGACAAUGAUGGGGUUUGGGAACAAAUGCAGAGAGGCAGCCUAAGAUAGCCAUGCUCCAGGAACGAGUUGAAUGAUGAUACAAGUGCUUACAGAGAGCGUCGCUAAUUAGCUAACCCGAACGUCAUAUAUAUUUUAAAACGUAUAAAAUGAUAAGAAAAUACAUUAUAACUAAGAAAUUAGCUUAUUAUAUAAGUAAAAAAAGACAAGUAUCAUCUUUUUCUCUAUUGCUUUUCGAAGACAAGCAUUUCUUUUUACGGAGCAGAUUUUGAGGGCGAGUACACACUUUUAGUACCAUUUAACUAGUGUUUUCAGACAUAUUCUUAUAUUAACCCGCUACGUUGGCACCUGAAAUAACCACAUAUUCGCAUAUGUGUUGUGUUUUGGACCAUAUUGUAAAAUCACAAGAAAGACGACAUAAUUGAAGGGUUUCUCUAAAGUUGGAAUUGUGUCCGGAUUUUGGAUAUUGGAAGACUCAAACACAAACAUUCAACUGCUAGCCCGCAGGAGGAGCUGAAACUUGCACGGGUCAUAUCUUCCUUAUCCGAAUUCCGAUUGGGGCGAAUUUAUUGCUAAAAUUGCAUGGCUCGAUGAGAUCUACAACUUUCAUAUGAAAUGCUCAGGAAUUGGAGGCCAAUAGAGGGUGUGCCGAUCGGCCUAGAUGGGUUCAUGUCAAUCGGCAUGGCUCGUUUCUAGCGCCGAUCAUUGUGCCCUUUCACUGGGAGGAAGUCCACGACGUUCCUAGAGUUAUUUUUCAGAAACUUAGCUUCCUAGGCACCCAACCGGCGCCGCCUACUAUAAAUACCCAAGACAUCCAACAAGGAGGAGAAUCCCGAUGAGUUUAGACCUAGCCGCCGCCGCCACAAGAGAAAAAAAUAGGGAUUAGAUCUGAUUAGGAGCUUCGUCAUCGAAGGGGACUUCCAGUGGAGGGAGGAAACCCCUAGGCCGAUCGGCCUAGGGUGGCUCAGGCUGAUCGUGCCUCCCCUCAUCUUCAUCUUCGGUUAGGGUGUUCUCCAGGUGCUCCAUACCCCCUUUUUCAUCAACAUGUGUAAGAUCAUGGGGUAAAGUCUCUGUUCUUAACUGCUACAUAUUCUUUAUGCUCAUUAAUGCAUCAUAGUCUGUGUCGUUGUAAUGCUUCGUUUACAUAUGUGAGAUCUCUAUCAUGUACAACAUAUGUUCUUAGUAGAGUUUCUUGUAAUCGUGGUGAUUAGCUUAACUCUACGGAUGCUUCGAUAUAGUGUGUGUGAGCGAGGUGGUUGAUUAUCCCUGCGUAGUGACAGUAUGCGGUGGGGAAAAGGCCGAGCGAGCACGUAACCGUUGUGAUAGCUAGUGAGGGCAGGACUCAUCUUUGUAGUAGAUGCAUAUUCUUGUGAACCUAGAUCCUAGGAAGGGAACGCUUAUAUCUAUCUCUAUCUCCUAUCUUGUGUUAACCUUUGCUAUAUUAUCUGAAUCACUGUUAUUAGUUUAGUUUGUCUCUCCACACAAUACAUACACUCAGUUUCAUUAGCAAGAUUGGUAUAAAGUGAGAACCAGCAAUCCACUUGUUCCACAUAUUGAUAAACUUUGGGGGAAUACUCUAAGGGAAAAGCUACAACUGAUCCGUGCGCUUGCGGUUUACGAAUUGGGGCGCUAACUGCCAUCAACAAGAGCUUUUCUAGUGCCGUUGCGGGGAACAACUCAGUUUGCUGUGUUUGAUCUUUGUAUUGAUUUUACUAACCCACUAGUACUUAAAUUUUGUGUAGAUUUUUUUGUUUUUAUUUUUCUUUUCGGUGCCUAGAUGGAUCUAUUUGUCACACCAUUGGACAAUGAAGAAAUGUCGCUAAGGGAAUUAACAAUGCCUUUGAGAUGCAAAAAUCAGAUUUGAAGCUUGCUACAACCCUCUAUGAAUUGAAUUAUGGAAUCAUCAAGUUCGUUGCGCUUUCAAAGGAUUGGAGGAUGACAAGCCAUAUAGAUACAUUGAACAAUUCACGAUGAUAUGCAACAUGGUGCAACAAGAAGUUCUGGCUGCUUGGUUCAAGUGGAAUCUUUUUCCACACGCUUUGCAACCCAUUGGUAUUAAUCUGUCGAUGGCAUUAUACUUGGCGAAUUUCUUCAAUUCAUUGCGACCUUCGUAUCCAUACGCGCAUGCAUCGCGUGGCCGUUCUCCUUGAACCUUGAUCAAAGAUACCUUAUGCUGUUAUGCCAUCGAGAAAUCCUUAUCACGAUAACUAUGACAUCUUAUGCACACAACACUCAGUGAGGGAUGGGGGCCCUUGAUUUUACGGCGUUGGAUUCUCGAGGAAUAGCAUCCCCGGAUAUGGUUCAUUAGUCGUCACUUUAACCCGUGGCACACGAUUCUUGAUGUGCAUAUUAUCGAGAAAAGAUCCAUCACAUGUUCUAUGCUACUACCGAUACAUAUGUACCUAAAUCAUGUAAUAAGACAAUAACUUAGUGGUCUCAUUGCACUAAAGAAAUCACUAUAAAUAUAAAUUUAUAAGAAAUUAAUUAGACCGAGUGAUGAAAAUUUGAAAUUCCUUUUUAGUAACAUAUAGUUAUGUAUAUCAAUUAAUAUGUUCCUAACCUUUAAAAUACACAGAGCAAAAUUGAUCCCCACCACCGCACGAAGGAGCUAGUGGGGAACCAUUCCCUCAAAUGUCCAGUAUGAUGAAGAUGACCGGCUGUUGCUCCUAAUCUUCUCCUUCAGCAUUCCAAUUGAUGCUGGAUCCUCAAAUUCGCCAUGACCUCCCCAUGGGUUUUGUUUGCCCAUGGAGUUUUGUCAUGCCAUAGCUUCCCAAGUCGGUGUGCAACAGAGGUGAUGAUGGAUAUGAUAAUCUGCAGUGAGAUUCACUAAACUCCCAGGUCUUUCGGAGGUUGAUGCGCUCCUUCUGUUUGUCAAUGGAGGGUCAUCUCCAUUUGGAGCUUUGGUUCUAGGUCAAUUGCACAUUGUGUUACAAAAUUAUCUAAAUUGGAUAUUUUUUAGGAGGUUGAUGUUCAACCAGCGGGGCAAAUGUCAAUGCUCCAUCAUGGAGUUAGCUAGAUACGGUCCAGAGGGACUUCGAAUAUGGUUUUCACCUUAGCAAUGUGAAGGGUAGUGGAGUUGGCCAAAUAUGAGAACAAAAUGGGAAGCGCCAGCAAAUGAAGUCACCGGUGUCAGUUCCUUUAAAGACCGAUGUCAGCCCAUGCAUGAGUCAUAUAUAACAGUGAUUUGCUGCUGGUUUUCAAGAAAACCAUCGGUAGCUGACACCGAUGGGUUAGGCCUAGCUCCGCCCGUGCUAUGAUUCAUCUUUAAUACAAUCCCCUUCUCUUCCUCUUUGAGGAGGAAAAAACAGUUCAUUUGUUAUUACCGAAACUAAUAACAACGUGAAUAACCUACUUCGAAAGAGAGAAAAAAAUAGGCACAAAUAUCCUAUUCUUUUCUCACACCCAAAUUGCAAGGUCAAACUGUUGAUGGAACCUGUGGCCGCCGCUAUACCAGCCAGCCGUUGUCAAACCCAACCGUAUCACCUUCUAUUCCCACACUGUUUAUAGAACUUUAUGCCCUUAACUCCAAAGAUUUGCAUGCCCUUGUUCUCUUGUCUCUUGCUGGAUCAGCACCAAAAGGUGAUCACACCACACCACACCACACCAGCUUUUCUGCUUCCUCUUCCUGGCUGGCCUUUUCGUGCCUCACUGCUGCCAUGGAUAAAGGAUCGGUGAUGGAACAGUGAAGCGCAAGCUUAGCACAAAAUGAUGUCGGGGAAGCAUCAGGCAUUUUACUUAAAAAAAAAA
rnacentral:lncRNA from 1 species